UAUUAAAUUUUGGAACGCUUCUCCAGCUUGGACCUUGGAAAUUCCUCCGAGUUUAUAGGAGAGAUGAAUCUCAAAGAAUUAAUAUUCCUGGCUAUAUUGGAGUGCAACAAGCAAAGCUUCAUUUGAUUUUCACCGAGGAACCAGCGUUUUCUCCUAAAUAUGAUUGAGGAGCUUUCCUCCUUUUCCUUUCAUGAUAAUAUUAUGCCUGAGAACGUUCCUCAAUUUCAUUAUUGGAUCAUUAUGCAAUCAGUUUUGAAUGAAGAACUAGAGUUCUUUUUCAUUAUGCAGUAACAGUGACAAUACUUGCAGGAACACCCACGCCUGGUGAACCUAUUCUUCAUUUUAUCUCGAUACUUCCUGCACAUUCCACGUAAAUGAGCAAGGGCAAGGGUUAAUGACUAUUCUAAAUUGAGUUAAUAACUAGGGCAGCUGCUUGAUCACUACUUAUGCUCGUGGUUUUAGUUUGCUUCCUUUGGGGCUUCUUUCAUGGGAGUGAUGCUUUUCCAAAAUGUGUGUUGGCCAGCCUCUCCGUUUGUAAGCUGAGAAUUGUAGGAUCUGUGGUCGUGGGAAGAAGGAAAUGAAUCGUGAUUGUAUCAACCCAGAGAGUGAAAACUGCAUUGUAUCUAGUCCGUGUAUUCGCUUGUCAAACAAUGCAGUCUUUGGUAGUUAGCCUGUGUAAGUUCACGAUGUAAGAGAACGAGAUUUAUUUACCUACUCGUGUAUCACAGUCGCCAUGAAUUGACCAGGAAGACACCAAGCAGCAAAACUAUGCACUGAUUUGCCUUUUUCUCUCUUUCUUUUUAGUUCAAGGAACCAGGAGACUCCAAGAACAUAUGGAAAGCUAGCUGCCUUGUCGAAGAACAUUUUUCGACAUAGCCACUGGUAUUGUGUACCAGCUACGGGAAACCAUAUAUGGCAAGAAAAUAUCUUUCUAAGACACUAGAUGCUAUCAACUCGCGAUUCUCCAGUUGCUGACUUGCAAUUGGCAAAAGUGGCUCCAACCAUUCUGGAUUGAGAAAGAAGCAAUUAGAGUGGAACUGAAUAUUUUGCAUCCUCUGAUACGCGAAGAAGUGUGAGAAGUUCACUACAUAUCUGCAGAAAUUUUUGAGAGAUAUCAUUUCUGUCUGAAUGGACCAUUCCAAAUCUUGUAUUGACGUGAGGGGAAGACAAACAACUCAGGUAUGUUAUAAACUGCUUCUGAGGCUAUAAAUUACUAUUAACUCUAAUUGCCACCUGCAUAAGAAGACCGGUUUAUUAAAGAUCUCACGUUCCCAUGUGUCCAAACUUGUUCAGAAAGAUGUGCACUUUACCCUGUAAAGCAUAUGCUCCACUUUUAGUUCAUUUAUUAGAGAUCUUCUAUCUGUUCUGGCUUAUAAUUUUCUCAACAAGAAGAGAGAGUGUAAGCAAUGGUGCUGAUGCCAGCAAUUCUGGCGCCGUGGGAGCAUCCACUUGUCCAUUCAUCUCUCCAAGUGGUGUGGGAAAUGACUGCAACAAAGUGUUCUUGAGCUUUAGAGGCACAGAUGCUCACACAGGAUUCACAAAUCAACUCUACCAUUCGCAAACUUGUGGAUGUAGGCACUGUGCCAGCUCAUGUUCAGAGAUGAUAAAGACCUCCAAGUCGGCAAGGAGUCUGGGUCAGAGCUUCUUAGCGCAAUCAUGCAGUCCAAGAUCACGGUACCAAUUAUCUCUCCCAAUUAUACUUCCAAUAAAUGGUGUCUUUGUAAGCUCAUUCAAAUGAUGGAGCAGAGAAACAGAGGAAAGUCUUGCUGAUGUUUUACAAAGUCGAUCCCUCACAUGUGCGGUACCUGAAAGGGAGUUUUCGCAAGGCCUUCCGCUCACCCAAAAAGCAUUUUGAUACGAAGGCUGUCAAACCAGGGCAGCGAGCUCUCCGGCAGUGAGUUUCUUAUACAGAUGGGAAUAAGAAAAAAUCGCUAAUGGGUACCUUCGUUUCCGUUGAACCUUGCGUACUUUCUUUCAACAAGAUCUUACUGGGGGUAAAAGAAAGACAUUAUUUCGUUGCCAUAAUCAUCCUGAACUCUUGCCCGCAGAACCAGGACAAACUAUGUACAAAAAUUUGCUGUAUUCAUCCUUCGUCCAUAUUUUCACCCUAGGAAAGCGUGUGUGAUUUCUCUGUGAUUAUAUUUCUCGUUUUUGCGGUCAGCUUUGCAGACGCGACAGCAUUGAAAAGGAAAGCGCUGGGCAAGACAUCAAAUCAUCUCAUUGCUGAAUUGAGGAGUCUACGAAAAGAUUGCAAGUACCCAACAUGAAUUCGUUACCAAAGAUAUACUUCCUUAAGCUAAAUGGGGCCCACACGGAAUGAAUAGGAAAGCAAUGGCUAAUUUAGGAAAUAAGGAAGGAAUGCCUCGUGUUGACGAGAACUCCGUUGGCGCAAAUGAUAAGGUACUUGGCUCCCUCAAGAGCAUUAUGUCGCGAGUUGGAUUAUUCGAGAUUGUUUCCUUUGGCCAUCCACAAGAGUCCCAAAACCGUGCAAUGCUAUGAUUACCGGUGUGGUGGAGAUAGGUAGCUUGCCAUAUAUUGGGAUAGAUUUCAUCAAUUCAUGGUCACUAAAUUUAGAAGAUACGCACAAUUUGAUUGGCGAACUUUGAUUUCGAUCGUUGCAUGCACUGAACUUUAAGUCCUUUUCUUUUGCAAUCCAUGCACUUUGAUUGGAAACUAGCCAAUUCUUGAUCCAAACACUGACAUGGCGGAUGUGCGGUGCCGGCGUGGUGUCCACCUUCGGCAUCAUGUUAGCACAAAGAAAAAAGAUUAAGAAAGUGUUUUUUUUUUUUUUUUUUUUGGGGAGGGGGAGUGUUUGUGGAGGAAGGGAAAAGAAGAAGUGAAGAGAGCCACCAUCUAAGUAACACUAACACACGACACGACACGGCACGAUAUGCCGGCACGUCGUUUUUCAAAAAACUGAGAAUUCCAGCAUGUUGGUACAUAUUAUAUUAAAUAUAUAUUUUAUAUAUACAUAAUAAAUUAUCAUUUUUAUGAUUUUUUUCAAUUAAAUUAAUUUGAAUCAAAUUCAUAAAUAAAUAAGUAAAUAAAAACUCUUAAAAUGAAUUUACCACUAAAAACAUUCAUCUGCUAUUUAUUAAUAUCAUUCAUUAUUUUAAUUUGACAAAUUCAACUCUAUUUCAAUAAUUCAUAAAACUUUGAAAAAAAAAAAAACAAGCUAUCCAUAUUUUGAACUUGCAUGUUAGAUAUGUUGGAAGAGGAGAAAAAAAACUUAUGGGAUGAAUUGUGUAUCAUCAGAAGUGGGAGUCAGAAGAGAAGAGAAGAGAAGAGAAAACUAGGUUUCUCAACCACCGGCCGGUGGCAUGGAUGGUAGAGCCUUGGCCCUCCCUGGUGGAGGCCAAGGUUCGAAGCCCCUGCGAAGUAGGGAGGCUGAAGCAUUGUGUGGUGACUUAAGCGUGACGUCAGGGUAGUGGUUUCCCUGCUAGCUUCACCGGGGGGUUUACGGUGCACUGUCGGUGCAAGCUGGUUCCUCCUGUUCCAAAAAAAAAAAAAAACUAGGUUUCUCUUCUUUCUCCAUUUAUUAUUUUUAUUAUUGUGUUUUAUUUUUUUCACAUAUAUUUUUUUUGACGUUUUGUUUAUUGAAUUUUUAAAAUUGACAUCGAUAUCAUAAUCACAUGUCGGAAACUCGUAUGUCAAAAUUCCGACUCGAGUGUCAAAGAGUGUCGGAAAAGUUAACCAGGUGUCGAAUUUUCCAACACGUGUUGACCGAGUGUCGGAGAGUGUCAGACAUGUGUCGAAGUAUCCGACACAACAUGAAGGCUCUUGGAGAAUGUCAGUGCUUCAUAGGCCACCAUCAGCCCUUUGCCUACAUUUCCCGGAAUUUGUAGAGGGCGCCAUGACCCUCUGUCAUUGCAAGGCAGAGGGUUGCGCAACCCCUUGGCAUUGUCCUUGAGGGGUUACCAUGUUUGGAUAAGUUUCCUAUGUUCUUGGUCGGGUCUUGCCGAGUCGAGCCCAUAGUUUAUUUGUUUAGUUUUGAGCUGUUUUCUAUUUUGUUUCUGCGGAAAUUUAUUCGAGGGUUCUAGUUGAUCUAUAUAUAUAUAUAUAUAUAUAUAUAUAUAUAUAUAUAUAUAUAUAUAUAUAUAUAUUGUGAUAGCCUCCUCUCUUGUCCACAUCGCCUAGGGAGGGAGGUCUUGAUUAGCUUAUAAGGCUUGGGUCCAUUUAACCUGUGUAACGCGUUUUAAAGCCAUGAAGGAAAAGACCGUGGCUGGGAUGGCGGUUCGUCUGUGCCAGGACGGGUGACCCAAAGCGGACAAUAUUACACAGUGGAGCCCGAGAUGUUACAAAGCCAACUCCCGAGCGCGUGUGGGACCAUAGCUCGAAUGCUAUUCUGACGCCCAUGGCCAACUGCGUGUGGCAUGUGGGACCACAGCUCGAAUGUUAUUCUGACACCCAGACAAUAUUACACAGUGGGGCCCGAGAUGUUACAAAGCCGACUCCCGAGCGUGUGUGGGACCACAGCUCGAAUGCUAUUCUGACGCCCAUGGCCGACCGCGUGUGGCAUGUGGGACCACAGCUCGAAUGCUAUUCUGACGCUCGUGGGGCCACAACAAGGACGCUCUUCUGUUAAGAGGUGACAUCGCUUAGAUCCCUCUAACCUGUGUAACACGUUUUAAAGCUGUGAGGGAAAAGACCGUGGCUGGGAUGGUGGUUCGUCCACACCAGGGUGGGUGACCCAAAGCGGACAAUAUUACACAGUGGGGCCCUAAGAUGACAGUUCGUCCACUCUAGGGCGGGUGACCCAAAGUAGACAAUAUUACACAGUGAGGCCCGGGAUGUUACAUAUAUAUAUAUAUAUAUAUAUAUAUAUAUAUAUAUAUAUAUAUAUUGAAAAUUAAUAAAAUGGAGCAACAAAGACCUCUUGCUAUAGCCUCAUCGAUCCACGAAUGGAAUAAGGAGCGCGUUGUCCAUUGGAUAGUAAGGAGCACGUUGUCCAUUGGAUCCACGGCGAGUCUUCAAGAACACUUCCUCUUACGGUAGCAAUAAUUUAUCAAUCUAGGCUACAGAUGAUAUAAACUUAACGAAAUUUGCUCAUUUCUGGCCAAUAGGCCAAAAUUAUAUAGACCAGAUGAUAAAAAAAUUCAUGGAAUUCGUAACUGAGAUUUUCAUUUUAGAAGGAUUACACACAUAAAGUUUUGGGAAACUACGUUGCACUUUAGCACUGCGUUUAGACCUCAGGAAGAUGGUCAAUUAGAAAGCAAAAUCCGAACAUUUUAAAGUGAUGUUAAAGAGCAUAAGCGAUUGGCACGGCUAGACACAGGCCGAUAUAAUUUUCAAUUUUAAGCUAAAAAGGCAUCUAUUCUAAUUGAAGUCGUAAAUAAAAAAUCGUCGACACAUCUAAUUUAAAAUGUUGCCCUCAACAGAACUAAUCUAAAUCUUAUUAAAAUAUACUACAUCGCCCCCUUUCAUGUAUCUUAACUAUUAAAAGAAAAUUAACCCAACUUAACUAUUGUGGAAGUAUCACAAUACAUAAUUUAUUAAAAAAAACAUGGUUUAAAAUUUAAAAAAAAAAAAACACAUCUUUUUUUUUUCUUUCUGUAUCUCAAUGAAUUUCACAAAACAACAAAAAAGUUAAUUGAACGAGUGGUACUUUACAGUUAAAUUCCUUUUGCUUAUAUGAUCAAAUUAAAUCUUAGUAAAACACUACAAAACACUACAAACGGCCUUCCUUUUCCUUGCGUUUUAUGCUCUAAUUAACUUCAUUUUCGCUCCAAAAAAAAGUAACUUCAAUUCGCUGAUAUUGGAGCAUGUACUAUAUUAGACAAUCUUAUGCAUCAGAUUACUCGGGCCAUAUUUAUUUCUUAUGUGAUGCAUAAAUCAUGAAAGUACGAUUUAUAUUUAUGUUAUACAGAAAAAUGCAGUCAUCUAUUAUGUGCCUGAAUAACAUGAGAAGGGCCCCUUUUUCAGCUAGCAAUUUACUUUGACCUGACAAUUUUAGCUUGCACUUUAUUUUAUUCCUCGUCACGUUGAAAAUUGUCAUCUUUAGACGGUACUACAGAGCUACAAAACGACGUUCCUUAUAAGUUUACUGAUGAGGACACAGUAGGCAUAUAUGUCACAUCCAAAAAUUCAAUGUUGAGAACGAAGUCUGGGUGCCUUGUCGAGGACAUCAGUAGAGAUGUCUUUUUGGGAAGUUACCUAGAGAAAAUGGAAAAGGCAAAGGCAAAGGCAGAGGGAAAGGAAAAGGAGGAGGGAAAGUGUAAGACAACGAGGGGAAGAUUGCAGAGAAGAGGGUGAGGUAGAGAUUUUGGGUCCUUGUGUCGACCUAAGACCCGCAUUUGAGGAAUCGGGUGGAUUCACACUUGAAUGACCCUCUUGAAACAUCCUUGGGGAACCUUCAGCAUAAUUCUCGUAACGCUCCUCCCUCAUGAAAGCAACAAGCUGUGAAUUGUGAGAAUCACCCAUCAUUUGCCUCUCCAGGAUCUCCACGUACUCCCUCCACCAUUGCAUAUAGCUACUUUUCUCCAAAAAUAUGUCAGGGGAAACCUUGUACUUCUCGAUCAGACCCAGAACACAUUUCUCAAACUCCACCAGUUUCACUAUUUUGGAACCGUUUGAUGAUCCUCCGCUUUCCAGCAAACUGCACGACCGGAUGGCCUCCUCCACGUGUGCCCAAAAGCACAAAUCCUCCGUCACACUCGACUCGACAUUGUUCAAUUUCAAAUUCGAAAGGCCAGCCUUCUCCUGGUAUUUUUUUUUUUCCAGAUGAUCAUCCAGCCAUUCUUCUACCAGCCUGUAGUGUUUGGAUCUUCCUCGAUUUAUGUAAUCCUUUCGGCCCCUUCUGUAAUAUUCGGUUAUGUCCAGUGGUUCCACUAUCCUGCAGUAAUUUGUCCCUCCAAAGAGCCAACGGUACUGCAGUGGCGUGCCCCAUAUUUGAGGCUUCUUCUCCGCUUCUUUGACCACACCCUCCCAGUAAUCCGAGAGGAUUGUCUUGUACUUAUCAACUCCAUUGUCGUGCCUUUCUCGUGCAUUUUUGAAGCUGUCACAGAAACCAGGACCCCUGCCGUUGGCUUUGCAUACCUUCAUGUACCACUCCAAGAAAGGUACACUUUCAUUUGGUCCAAUUGCUUGGCAGGAACAAAUGCCUCUCUUUAUUGUCUUAAGACGUCUCUUUCACGCUUUACUAUUUCAUCUAUCAGAGCAUCACUGCCCUCAUUUAGCUGCUGUCACUGCAAUGAGAGUCCACUCAAUCAAAGUUUAUAAAUAUUCAUAACAUUUAGAAGCUUCCAACUUCAGCAAGUUUUCCUUUUAUCCUGCUAAAAUUCUGAAUUAGUCUAUCCGCAUUUUAAUUAGGUAAAAACAUGGUCAAUGGCAAAAGUGAGAUAUAUGUGUGGUUCCAAGCAGCACAACUAUCUGCUAAAAAGCAAACUUCUCCUUGAUGGAAUGUAACCAUGAGAAGAAGGUCAAGUUCAGAUACCUGUAUUGGCUUGAGGCCGACCACUAUGACUUGAGUAGUAACCCCAGCUUUAUACGAACAUGCUUCUUGCCCAUUCAACCAUGAACAAUCAUUGUGAAUUAAUCUUUGCUCUAGCCAUCCAAUGACAGUCUUAUAAUCAACACUUCGGGACUCUUCUGUUUCCAACAGCAAUUUCCAAGAUGAGCAGCUCCAUGAUGGACUCGGGCUUCAAAACAGGUACCACCUGAUUCAGAACACAAAAGGAAGGUACCAAAAGGUUUGUAUUGACUUGAGUUAGUGGUGGAAGGGUGAAGGAAUGGUCUAGGAAAACAAUCAUCCGUAUGAGCUACAUGCAAGAAGCACAAAUUCCAUGUUAAAUAUUGCGAUACAGCUUGUCGGAAGGCAUUGUCUCUGAGGAGUGGUGAAUUGCAAGUGAUACAGAGGGGGAGUGUUCCCUUUGUUGUGUCGAGUGUGUUUAAGGCCAUAACAUGAAAUGGGAGGUGAUGAAUCCACCCGUUCAGUGUCCUGUAAUAAUAUAGGGAACUGAGUCCUUAGACUUGGCUGAAGCUACAACCUGCGUUGAAGCAGAAUAAGCAUCAAUUCAUAUUCUCAACUUAUAGGUGCCAAGUACAGUCUUUCAGAUGAGAUAAAUAUGCACAGUUAAUAAAUGAAAUGAAACUCUGCGCAAUCAUAUGAUUCAGUUAAAUGAAAGAUUCAAUUUAUAGGGAUUUUCGCAACUAUGCUCAAAACAAUGAGAAAAAUCAUUUCCAUAGCAGAACAGUGCUUCACUUCUCAUCUAAUAGGCUUAAUGAUAGGUGGUGAACAACUCGAAACUCCUCAAUUGUAGCAAUUAUUAGCAUGUCUACUUCAACAACGAUUUCUGUAAGCAGCAAUUCCUAGAUACAUGCGUACUUAUGAUCUCACAGCCGAUAAUAGUAAUAACUAGAAUGGAUAACUUGAGAGAAUAUAUAGAAUUGCUACCUUUUCUUUGAGUCGAGAGAGCUCGUUUCGAAGAGAGUUAAACAGAGAAAUCACAGCUUUGUUUAUAUGAAAAGUUGGAUUGGUUUUGGAGCAUAGGAACUGAAAGUUGGGGAUCUUCAAUGAAGGAACCAAAUCUCUUUCCUCUUCAAGACUACCUGUAGUAACCGGUGAGGUGACAAAGGUAAUGAUAUUGUAGUUCAGGCAGUGAAAUUCAUUGAUUAUUACAGGGUUAUCCCUAUCUGAUCGGAAAGUCGCGGAUUUAAGUCAUGGAAACACCCUCUUUACACAACGCAAGAGGAAGUGUUGGUUGAUUCGCCGCUCUCCAUUAAUCCUGAAGAAGAUAUGAUGACACAGCCAAGUUUGCCAAAUACAGUCCAUCGCUGAAUCUGCAGAUCAAGAAAACAACAUACUACUCGUCAAGAACGUGGAUUAUCGGUAAAGUCGAUGCAAAAUGCAUUCUCUCCACCGAUUGCCGAACCUGGAUUUCUGUCUCAGAAAUAAAAGGCAAAGGAAAGAAAAUUUCUUUACGCACAGAGAAUCUAUAUCUCGGUCCAUUCUCAGAGCUUCGUUGGAUCUGCGCAGACACAGCUAUUUAACAUCGUGCCUCCAUUUUUAACCUGAUUCCAGAAACAAAAAAUGCAAGUGCCAGCUUGCUUAAUAUAUCUUCCAAAUCACCCAGCCGGUAUGAGUGAGAUAUGGAUUUGAUGAAAACUUACGGAAAAAAUCAUAGGUUCGCGUUCACUGAUUUUUUCAAUAGAGAUUGAUCAAUAGACUUGACCAUUGACAUUUUAAUUGUGAUGGUGAUUAAUCGAGUAUUUUUUACUUGUUUAUAACUUUGUUGAAAUGAAAUUACUCAUAUGUCAUUUAUGUAAUUUUACCUUGAAUUUGGAUUAUAGAGUUUUGGUAUUAUUAUGUAUAUAUACAUAGUGAUUGUUCGAUUUACUUAGAAAAGAUAUACUACUCACUGAACUGUGGUUACUUAUUUCACUCAUUUUUCAUGUUUUUCAAGCUCCUCGACUAGCGGCCAAUAGUACAAGAAUGCUAUCGACGGGACUUUCGGGAGUAUGAUUUCGAUAUGAGCUUAGCUAGUUUUUUUUUUUUUUUUUUUUUUUUUUUUUUUUUGUAGAUAGUUGUUGGGUUGGCUGGAUUCUAAAUUGAACAUAUUCUUUAUGAUAAUGAUAGAAAUUAUUAUAUUGUAACCAACCUGUUAUUUUAUUCAAUAUAUAUGGAUGGAGAUAUAUGUUAUUGUUAAUAGGUUAUUGGUUAUGUUUGACACAAUGUCCUUCAUUCAUACGAGAGGACGGUUGUGUCAUCCUUUUUCUUAUUGGUUUCAGGACGUGAUAUAUGAUAUGGUGGUUGACUCUAUCAAGAGUGAAACAUCCUAAAUUGGAUCUUCCGUAAUUGUUGUCUAUGGCAUCCCCAAGAGUCAUGAACUUGCAUUGGAUGUUAUAAUUUUUUUUUUUUUUGUGCUGGAGGAACCGGCUUGCAGCCGACAGCCGCGCCGUAAACCCCCAGGUGACACUUAAGCAGGAGGACCCACCACCCCUGAGUCACACUUAAUACACCUAGCGCCUCCCCUGGAUUUUGAACCCUUCACCUAUUCGUUGAGGAUCAGCAGAGCCUUAACCAGUGGAGCCACCGCGGCCGGUGGUUGGAUGUUAUAAUUAUUUGUCAUCGUUUUGUGGUCGGUAAGAGGGUAUGCGCAAUCCGGUCGGUGAACUUCGGAUUUUAAUCAUCGAACGCGCUCAAAUUUCAGCUGCCAACGUAGUGUCUAACUUGGGCCAGCGUAAGCCCCAAGAAAAAAAAAAUAUAUUGAUAUAAUAAAAAUAAAGAUAAAAAAGAAACAAAAAAUGGGUAGAGAGCCAUUAAGAACAUGUGGGCCGAAAGUUAAAGAAAGAAGCAAGAAAAUGAGUACCCUCCAGAAGCAAGAAAAUGAGUACCCUCCAGUUAAUUUGUUUAGUUUUUUUCUUUAGUUCAUUAGUUAAUAAAAAUCAAAUUGUUGAUGUGCUUGCGAAAAAAAAAAGAAAGCAAAAUUUCUUAGAGCUUAGAAAUAAGCUUAUAAAAUCAAAUACAUCUCAUGUGCAAAUCUAAAAUACAUACAAUGAAUCCAUCUUAUUAGAUAAACGCAUAGUGGUGCUCCUGAGCUCUUUCAAUGUGUGGUUGACAUUUGGUGUUCUUCAUGAGUGACAUCUUUCUUUACUUUCUUUAGAAAAAUUUUCCUUUUAUUUUUUUUAUUUUACUUGAACUAAAAAAUUUCCGUCUUAAUUUAAGAGGUAUACGAUUACUUUUGAUAUCACGCAAAUCCCUUAUUCUUGUGAUGAUUGAGUAUAAUUAUAUCAGUUUACUCCAUUCACUAGACAAUGCCAAGAAGGCACCACCCAGCACUUUGUCGAGUUUGGAAUACUUGUCAAAAUUACAUAUCAAAAGGUGCGGUGAGCUAAUAGAAAUCAAGGGUUUGAAAGGGCUAAAAUCCUUAGCAAAACUAAAAGUAUCUACAUGUGAGAAGUUGUUCGACAUCAAGGGCCUUGAACCCCUAAAGUCUUUGAGACCUUUGGAAUUGUCUGAUUUCGAGUCAGAUGCUUUACCAGUGAUUAAUGAUCUAUUUCAAGUUUAAGGCCUUGACAAAUUGAAAAACUUCAACGAGCUACUUUUCUAAAGGUGCCAGCCCCUUAUGAGGCUGGACCUUUCGCAAUUAAGAUAUCUGAAAUUUUUAAGAGUUGAAAAAUGUCAUAAUCUAGUCGAAAUUAGGGGCCUCAAGGGAGAUUUGGUCACCUAUGGGGGCCUUCCUAUGCCGUCAUCUAUAGUUGGUCUAAAGAUGUCUAUCGCAGGAUUAAAUACGCGGUACAAGACGGCCGAGAAUUUUUUUUCCUAUUAUAUGGAGGGCAACAAAUACUUAGCGCAUGGUUACUCUUAUUUAAGACAAAAGAAAGUGGAAAUUUGAAGGGCCCAUGCGCAUGUCUCUCGCGCCCAUUUUUCUCCCCAUGCGCAUGCAUGCCCACAAAAAUAGCCAGGCGCCUUGCGAGAAAAAUAUUGUGCAGGCCCGGCCUCUCCACGUAAUCGUGGGCGGGCCCAUCCACGUGGCGUCAUGUGUCGUCCAAUCAUGGUCCCAUUGUCUCUCUCCAUCUUGAGUCCUCUCUCUUCAUCAAAGACAUCUGUGUCCUCCCUUUCCCCCUCUUCCUUCGUUUCAAAAUUUCACUCCCUUUCUCCCUCUCUCCUGCGUGUGAAGACACUCUCCUCCUUUUUUUUCUCGUGUAUUUUGGCUUCAAAGAUAGAUGUGAAUUCUCCUCAAAACCACGGGCAGUUUUUUUUUUUUUUUUGGUCAGCUCCCACAAGAAAACAUCCCUCCUCAAAACCAGUUGCCAUGCUCGCUAUACAUCCUGAAAUGAGUUUUUUUUUUUUUUAAAUGGAAUCUUGCACCCAUGGAUGAGGCUUUCCUGGCUUUUGGUGGUGCAUUUCGGGAUUUCUUGAGGUUUCGCUGACUUAGGUAUGUUCUUUUUAUCUGUUGGGCUGUGUGGGAAUACCUCUGUUUUUUCAUUGCAUGGGAAAAAAGUCUGGUUCUGGGCAUUUGACCAGGUCAAAGAAAGUGUCUCUUGACAGAAUGUGAAAUGGAGAUUUGAGAAAAGCUUUUUCUCUGUAUAUUCAUUGUGUAUAUUUACAUUUCACUGAUGAACUUAAAAUGUAAGAGACAAAGGAAUAAAACAGGAAAAAAUAACAAAUGAAUCUCUAUUUUCCUAUUUACCAAAACUAAUCCACGGAAUCGGAAUCUUCAAGAUAUAUUUCCAACACUCCCCCUCAAGCUGGUGGCCUGUAGAUGUCAAGGAUACCAAGCUUGCUCAAUAGAUAUCCAUGCUGUUUCCGACAUAACGCUUUAGUAAAGAUGUCUGCAGGUUGCUUCGUUGUUCCGAUUCCUUUUGUCACCAGGACUCCAUCUUUGAUCCUAUCCCGAGUGAAAUGACAAUCCACUUCUAUGUGUUUUGUUCUUUCAUGAAAGACUGGAUUUGCCGCUAAUUUGAGUGCAGCAUCAUUAUCACAAAACAAUUCAGUCGUUCCACUGACUUGUAUUCCGAGAUCCAGGAGUAGUCCUCAUAUCCAGACUAUUUCACAGGUAGCCUUUGCCAUGGCCCGAUACUCUGAUUCUGCGGAUGAUAGUGAGACAGUUGACUGUUUCUUUGUCUUCCAAGAAAUUAAUGACUUUCUCAGCUUUAUGUAGAAACCAGUAAUAGACCUCCUGGUCAUUGGACAGGUGGCAUAAUCUGUGUCGCAAAAAGCUGUCAUCUUCAUAUUGCAGUCACGGGAUAGAAGUAUACCAAGGCCUGGACAUCCCUUUAGAUACUUCACAACUUUCAAUGCCGCAUCCAUAUGUGAUUGCUUUGACAUAUGCAUGAACUGGCUGAGUAUUUGUACGGCAUAUGAUAUGUCAGGUCUUGUCAUUGUAAGAUAUAUCAACUUUCCGACAAGUCGCUGAUAUUCUGAAGGAUCUUUGAGCACUGAGUCCUUAAUGUUUGAAGGAGAACUUAUGUCAUAUUCAUGCGUUGUCAACUUGACAUUCUGCUCAACUGGAAUGACUGCUGGUUUACAUCCCGAUAGACCUGCUUCAGAAAUAAUCUCCAAGAUAAACUUCCUUUGACUGAGGCAAAUUCCUUCAUUGGACCGAGCAAUCUCGAUGCCAAGAAAAUAUUUUGGCAGUUCCAAAUCUUUGAUGUGAAAGGUGGAGUGUAAAUAUCUUUUGAAUUUGGCAACAUCAGAAUCAUUAUUUCCCAUGACAAGUAUAUCAUCAACAUAUAUCAACAGAUAAAUUGAUGAUGCUUUUGUAGUACGGGUAAACAAGGCAUAAUCAUACUUAGAAUGCUCAAAACCUGCAUUGGUUAGUGCAGCAGUGAAUUUGGCAUACCAUUGUCUUGAUGCCUGUUUUAAUCCAUAUAAGGAUUUGCGAAGACAACAUACUCGAGACUCCCCCUGUCUGCGUAAUCCUUGAGGAAUAUCCAUGUAGAUUUCUUCAUCGAGAUCACCGUGGAGAAAAGCAUUAUGCACAUCCAUCUGAUGGAGAGACCAAUUUCGUAUGGCAGCGACGGAUAAGAAGGAACGUACAGUGACUUCUUUAGCUACUGGGGAAAAGGUUUCAUGGUAAUCAAAACCCUCUUUUUAAGUGAAUCCCUUGGCAACUAACCGAGCCUUAUAGCGCUCAAUAGAACCAUCUGUCUUGAAUUUGAUUUUGUAAACCCAUUUGCAGCCAAUCGGUUUCCGUCUUGGUGGCAAAGGGACAAUAUCCCAUGUGUGAUUCUCCAUCAAAGCAGUAAGUUCGGAUUCCAUCGCAUGUUGCCAUCUAGGGUCUCGUGCUGCCUCAGCGAAGGAGAAUGGUUCUCGUUCUUCAGAUAUGCGACUUAUACAGCACAAAUGUCCUGGCGAUAACUGAUUAAACGAUACAUAUGAGCCAAUGGGAUAUUGUGUACCUAAAGAACUUCUUGCAGAACAUAUGUAAUCCUUUGUCCAUGUAGGUGGACGAGUGUGCCUUCCAAAUCGUCGAGGUGGCUCGAGGAUUGGUGCUGGAGGAGCCGAUGAUUCAGGGAGAAUGGGUGAAGUAGCUGUUGGUAUAGGAGAUUGGGAAAUGUCUUCAGAUAAUCCUGGCGAAGUUGCUUCUGAAGGUGAUAAUUCCAUUGAUGCAGACCAAGGUGGUCCUGAUGAUAUGGGUGGUCCUAGUGCAAUAAGACACCCUGGUGCUGAGGACAAAGAGUCAUCGGACAAAAAUAGUAUGUCGUGUCCUAAUGGUAAAGAGGACUCUGAUGAAGAAACCUUUUCCUCAAAAGGAAAUAUGUCUUCAUGGAAUACAACAUCCCUGCUAAUGAAAAAAAUCCCUGUAGAGAUCUCCAUAACUCGAUAUCCUUUCUGAAGAGAAGAAUAUCCCAUAAAAACGCACCAAGUGGCUCGAGGCCCCAUUUUAUCUCGAGGACCCACAUUUUUUGUAUAGCAUAAACAACCAAAUACUUUAAGAUGAUUAUUAUCAGGCUGUCUGUUGUAAAGCAUCUCAAAAGGGGUCCUACCAUUAAGAAUUCGAGUUGGCAUGCGAUUAAUCAAGUAAGCUGCUGUGACCACACAAUCUCCCCAAAAAUCUUCUGGAAUGGAAGCUUGAUAUUUUAGAGCACGAGCAACCUCUAACAGAUGCCUAUGUUUGCGCUCAACAAUACCAUUUUGUUGCGGAGUGUAAGUGCAUGAACUUUCAUGAAGUAUACCAUGGGAAGAUAGAAAUGUGUUGCAAUCAGAAGUGAAAAAUUCACGCCCAUUAUCUGUACGAAUUUUUUGUACAGAUUUACCAAACUGAUUUUUAAUUAUGGAAAUAAAGUUUGAUAGAUGACCAAAAGUUUGGCUUUUCAAUUGCAUAAGAUAAACCCAUGUGACUCGAGUGUAAUCAUCAACGAUUGUUAGGAAGAAUCGAGAUCCAUCACGGUGAAGAGUAUGAUAAGGUCCCCAAAUGUCCAUAUGAAGUAAAGAGAAGGACUCUGUUGUACGAGAUGUACUUUUCGGAAAAGGUGCUCGAGAUUGUUUAGCUAAAGGACAUAUUGGACAUUUUGGAUGAGGAAAAGAAGCACUGUGACCCAAUCGUUGAUGAGAAAGGAGAUUUUUAUUUGAACUGAUAGCAUUACAAGAAACAUGCUUAUUUAAUAAUUCUAAAUCUCCUGGGGAAUUGUUCCAGAAAUAGAGUCCAUCUACCACACUACCCAAGGCCAUCACUCUGCCAGUCGAAUGGUCCUGAAAAAGACAAUUGUCGGAAUUGAAUGUGGCAUGGCAAGAGUUAUCCUCACAUACUCUUGAGACAGACAAAAGAUUGAAUUCAAAUUCUGGAAUAUAUAGGACAUUUUUCAGGAUUAAAUUUGGACCAAGAUGAACGGUGCCGGUUUGGGUAACAUUUGUGAUGUUCCCAUUUGGGAGACGGACCGUGAUAGGAGAUUCUGGCAUUUUAUAUGUGUGAGAAAAAAAAAUCUGUUGCAUACUAUGUGGUCACUAGCAUCUGAAUCGAUAAUCCAUACAUCAACCAAAAACGAAUUCUUAUUGUAUAGGAAAGUACCUGAGAAUCCUGCACUUUUAUCACUAGUCUUGAGUUGAUCCAGCAUUUGUACAAUAUUCUGAUAUUGUUCUUGAGUGAUCAUCUGGUGAGGUGAUCCAUCUGCCUUUUGUACAAAAACUUGGGAAAUAAUGGAUUCUCUCUUUUUGUCAUUAGGCUUUCCAUGCAACUUCCAACAGGUCUCAAUGGUAUGAUGUGGACGUUUACAGUAGCUGCAAUAUUUAUUUUUAAAUAUGGAAUUCUGCCCACUGACCUUUCUUGCUGACGUGGCACGAUCCCAGCCGUCCGAUUCUGAUGAAGCUGCGAAUAGAUGAUGGCCGUCCGAUCCAGCGCGUCGAUCUCGUCCGUCCAAUCCAGCGCGUCGAUCUCGUCCGUCCGUUCCAGCACUGAGAUCCUAGCCGUUCGAUCCAGCGCGCCGAUCUCGUCCGUCCGUUCCAGCGCUGAGAUCCCAGCCGUUCGAUCCAGCGCGCCGAUCUUGUCCGUACGUUCCAGUGCUGAGAUCCCAGCCGUCCGAUCCAGCGCGCCGAUCUGAGCCGUCCAUCUUGGAUCGGCGAUCCCAGCCAUCCAUUCCAGAUUUUUGAUCCGAGCCGUUAGAUCGAAAUGUUUUAGGGUUUCCUCUGGUUCUCCUCGCCGUAGCCGCAGCCACGAUUUUUCUCUCCAGAUCUGUGGAGUUUCCGCCGAGAGUUGUAUCGCCGGAGGGAAGAACGGCCAAGCUCAGGCCUUCGCCUAUUCGAGCGUGUCCAGCGGCGGCCAUCCGAUGAUGCUCCUCUUGGACGGCCAACUGGUAAAUGCGACCGAGCGGUGGUGGGGGGUCCAUCGCGAGGAUUUGCGAUCGGAAAGCCGAGAAGGAUUCGUUUAAAAUUAGUAAGAACCUCGUCAUUUUCUCCCUUUCUUUAAUUUUUCGGUACUGUUGGAUGGUUUCUUCAGGACCUUCGAGUCGUUCUUCGGCGGCCUCAAGCUCAUUCCAUAGAGCGGAGAGGCGGUUGAAGCAGGAGGUAACCGAGAGGUUCCCCUGCUUCAACUCCGACAGGGCUUGGGUGACGGUGAACAGUUUCGCCCGGUCGAGGCGUCCGUACAUCUCACGGAUGCUGUCCCAGAGAGUGUGAGAGUCUUCGGUUGGUGGGAGUCCGGCAGCGAUUUUCGGUGCGAGGCAGUUCCCGAGCCAUGUGCGAACCAGUUGGUUGCACUUGCACCACUGCCGUUGAAGACGUUCGUCGGCCGGAAAAGGAACGGCUCCGUCGAGGAAGCUGUCCUUGUCUUUGGUGAUAAGGGCGCGCUGGAGAUCUCUUGCCCAGGCCGCGUAGUUCUCCGCUCCGGUAAGCUGCAUCCCGAGGAGCUUCAAUUCGGGUCCAUCGGCCGGCGACGUGUACAGAGGGUCGCCGGGUUCAAGCCGGCCGCCACUGCCAACCGGAAAAAACAACGGUGCAUAUCCGAGUUGAAAUCCCGGGUAGGGAUUCGAACCCGGGAUAGAUCCGGAUCCCUGACCCGGCGGUGUGUAUCCGGGUUGAAAACCCGGGUAGGGAUUCGAACCCGGGAUGGAUCCGGAUCCCUGACCCGGCGGCGUGUAUCCGGGUUGAAAUCCCGGGUAGGGAUUCGAACCCGGGAUAGAUCCGGAUCCCUGACCCGGGAUGGAUCCAGAUUCCGGAGCGAAAUUCGUUUGGCCCGAUGUCUCUGUGGGGCCUGUUACGGACUGCGACGGCCCAAAAGGAAGCUGGGUCCAUACCUGUCCUGGCAAUGGGCCAAAAGGAUACUGGUUCCACAGCUGUCCAUAUGCUGGAGGAAAGGUUGGAGGCCACUGGACUGGGCCGGAGGUCUGGCCCGACGCUGGAAUCAAUUGUGCAAAAAGGGUUUCUUCUGAUGGAUGAACAGAGGUUCGGUCGCCGCCAAGAGAGACAACCGGAUCUGAGGUAGGUGUCUCCUCUGUUGAGGAAUUCUCAACAUUUUUCGUCAUGGCACCAAGAAAAUUGAAUUCCUAAUCGUUUUGCUGGUCUGUUUCGCAGGUGGAGAUUAUGCAACAACAGGCCAGAAAAAGAACGAUGGCAAUUCAAAAAAAAUGCGGAAGCUAGGUCAGGAGUAUCGGCUCUGAUACCAUGACAGAAUGUGAAAUGGAGAUUUGAGAAAAGCUUUUUCUCUGUAUAUUCAUUGUGUAUAUUUACAUUUCACUGAUGAAUUUAUAAUGUAAGAGACAAAGGAAUAAAACAGAAAAAAAAAAAUGAAUCUCUAUUUUUCUAUUUUCCUAUUUACCAAAACUAAUCCACGGAAUUGGAAUCUUCAAGAUAUAUUUCCAACAUCUCUGUUGGAAAAAUUGAGAAUAGGAGUUUCAUUUCUGAGAGGGAAGGAAGACUCGUAGCAGUGAACUGAAGAUAAAAAUGUCUUCUGUUCUAUAUUAUGUUGGUGGCGUGAUCUUUGGAGGCAUUUGGGCAUUGAAGAUUCGUUGAUGGAACCCAGAUGGAGAGAGCCAAGCUCGAGAACGAGAGAAUGGUGCUUCUCAUCCACCAGAAGGAGCUCCAAUUUGCUCGAUCUUCAACAGCAGCAGCAACAUUCAUCCAAUAGGAGGAGUGGUGGCAGCGAUGAGGGUUGAAAGGCGAAGGAUUUUGAAAGAAAUUAAAAGCAAAAAACUCCGGCUCACGCAAAGCCUCGCUCCAAUUCAAAAAUUGUUUCGAUUGUGCCUUUCGUUUGACCUCCGUGAUUGGGCCAAGGCACGGUGGCACUGCUGGACGGUGGCUCUGCGACCAGGAAGAAAGCUCCGACCACCAACCCAAUCGUGGCCAAUUCGAGGGUGGAGACGCUGUGACUUGAUCGAUGGAGGAUUGAUAGCUUUGGACCCUAUUCUUACACAAGACAUGUGUGUCUGCUUGUUCCAUGAGUUAUGGAGGAUUUCUAAAGAACAACCACCUCUCGCUCAAUUCGUAGUGCAUGCUGGUGGUUUAAUUGACUGAAAACUGAAAAGUGGUAUGUGCAAGUCUGGUAUGUGCAAGUCUGAUACCAGUGGAUGCCUUAAGGCUUUUACUUUAUUUCAAGGACUGAGAAAAGGGCACUAGCAAUCACGGUAUUUUCACUCUGGCCUCGGUUAGUUCUCUGUAAUUGGGAUAUGCUUCGAGCUUUCCCUUUGUUCAAGACUUUUUUUUCUGCUUGGAUGCUUUUUCGUGUUUGAUUUAUCGAGGAGACUAAGGUGAUUUGUGUAGUUCCCUUCCUUUUCAUUCAGAUGUAAGUUGAUGACUGUGUGUGAGUUGACUAUGAGAAGUUGAAUUAGCUUGUGAAAAUCACUAGCCUACUGUUUGUUUGCACCUUUCAGCUAGAUCGAGAAUUUGAAUUCUAUAACUAUGACAGGCCAACAAAAAUUGGUUCAUUCUUGACACAUAGAUCACCAACCACCAACAAGAUAACUUGCGUUGGUUCUGUGAGAUGAGGUAUUGAAUGUUAAAGCUACUACUAGAUUGUGUUUCCUGAGUAUAAAAUGCAGGUGCCUGUGUAGUCUGCCUUCUUGUUUUUGGAGUGCUUUUGGCGUGGACUUUAUUCAGGAACAUUCACCAUGGUUUGGAUCCCUGACCUACAUAAUGCAAUACAAGGGGGAAAAUGAUUUUUUGUUGUUAUCUAAACAUCUCUAAACUCUCGUCAUCAUAUUGAAAGCUAAUUUAUCAAUUCCCUAUGCUCGGUCACCAUUGCUAAUUUUUUUAAAAGAUUUUUUAAUCCUUGUACUGAUCUUCUGUGCAUCUUACUCUAAUAUUUGGUUCAUGUCCAUUCAUCAGUGAUUUUUCUAAUGUAUCUUGCCUGAUGCUGUCAAAAUAUUCUAAAUCUCCUUCUCUUUCAUACCUGUCUUUUUUCUUUUGAUGUUUUAUCUCUGACUUUAUUCGGCAGGAAUUCGUUUUUACAUAGAAGAUGGCAAGCCCAGAAGAAAACAAUGAUGUGAAAACUCUGGAAACACAGCCCGAUAAGCGGAGAAACAAGAAGUCCAUCAUCUGGGAACACUUCACAAUAGAAAUUAUGAGUCCUGGACGUAUAAGGGCAUGCUGUAAGCAGUGCAAGCAAAGUUUUGCCAAUGGCACAGGCUCAAAGGUCAUUAGCACCAGCCAGCAAAGUAAGUUAACACAAUGCUUCAGGGGUAGUCAUGUUCUGGAUCAUUGGAGGCAUUAAAAUGGAUCACGGUGCCUCAUCAAAUUUUACAAACCUUAAAAUGAUCUUACCAAUGUUCCAAUGAAUAAGUUAGCAACCAACAUUUUCUCAAGUUUUACAAGUGUAGCACUCUAAUAAAUUUACAAAUAUGUCAAUAAAUUAGUAAGUUUGUAACAACUAAAAAUUUUCUAUAGUUAGUGUUAACAAAAUUUUUUUGGUCAUAAGCAAGCUUUUCAUUCACUGAGUACAGGCCCAAUUACAUGAAAAAGGGGCAUCAAUUGGUUUACGGCAGACCCAUCAAUUAGUUUCCCCUCGAAAUCACGGCAGAUGCAUGCCAUGGAACCUUUGGAAGAUCCUUCAUGGAAAGUUAUGUCAAUGUUUGGCUUGAGAACUUGGUAGUUUCCAUCUUGUGGGUAAGUGUCUUGGGCUGCUUCUAUUCUCUUAUUCUCGGCCAUUCCAUUUCGAGAGAUUCAUAUGCAUAGCCAUGAUAGACGCCAUUGUUGUUGCAGGAUCUGGUAAGUGAUGCUUGAAAAUAAAGGAAUAUCUUUAUGUCCAAAUAUGCCAAAAAGUGACCGCGAUCAGUUCAAAAGAUGGGGAGCUUUGAGGUGAUUACCAAUCUCCAAUGGCCAUCCUUCAAUUCAAAUAACUUCUUGAUUUGAAAUCUCAAUGCCUAUCUCAGAGGCCAACCUUAUCUGUUUCGUCCUUUGACAAAGAAGGAACAGAUGUUUGACAGUAUCAAGUUCCUUUUCGCAAAGAGAGCAUCUCGACUCAGGUACAAUCUUCCUUCUGAAUAGGUUUUCUCUUGUGGGUANNNNNNNNNNNNNNNNNNNNNNNNNNNNNNNNNNNNNNNNNNNNNNNNNNNNNNNNNNNNNNNNNNNNNNNNNNNNNNNNNNNNNNNNNNNNNNNNNNNNNNNNNNNNNNNNNNNNNNNNNNNNNNNNNNNNNNNNNNNNNNNNNNNNNNNNNNNNNNNNNNNNNNNNNNNNNNNNNNNNNNNNNNNNNNNNNNNNNNNNNNNNNNNNNNNNNNNNNNNNNNNNNNNNNNNNNNNNNNNNNNNNNNNNNNNNNNNNNNNNNNNNNNNNNNNNNNNNNNNNNNNNNNNNNNNNNNNNNNNNNNNNNNNNNNNNNNNNNNNNNNNNNNNNNNNNNNNNNNNNNNNNNNNNNNNNNNNNNNNNNNNNNNNNNNNNNNNNNNNNNNNNNNNNNNNNNNNNNNNNNNNNNNNNNNNNNNNNNNNNNNNNNNNNNNNNNNNNNNNNNNNNNNNNNNNNNNNNNNNNNNNNNNNNNNNNNNNNNNNNNNNNNNNNNNNNNNNNNNNNNNNNNNNNNNNNNNNNNNNNNNNNNNNNNNNNNNNNNNNNNNNNNNNNNNNNNNNNNNNNNNNNNNNNNNNNNNNNNNNNNNNNNNNNNNNNNNNNNNNNNNNNNNNNNNNNNNNNNNNNNNNNNNNNNNNNNNNNNNNNNNNNNNNNNNNNNNNNNNNNNNNNNNUUGGGGAGCGCCCUUUUUUUUUUUUUUUUUUUUGAAAAACCCCCUCCCCAAGGGUGUUUCCCAAAUGUGUGCCCCUUUUUUCCCCAUGUAAAAAAAUUCAUUAAAGUUAAGUCCCCCCCCCCCCCCCCCCCCCCCCCCCCCCCAACCAACAAACCCCCAACCAAAUUGAAGGAAGCUGGUUUUGGAGGUUGAUUAUUGGAGGGUGUACGAAGGUAAUUCUCAUCUGUUUUCUACUAUCUGUACAAAUUAGGUCAAACAUUUCAUUGUGACUGAGUCCAUUGUUGGCACCACCCUGUCAAUUGGUAAAAUUGCUGAUCCCCCUGCUAUUCCAUUUGAAGUCAUCACCGCACAGUUCUGGAAUUGGAUUUGUUUCAAGCUCAUACCACAGGUUCUUGACUCUUUGUGCUCAUCAGAAAAAUAAUGCCAGGCCUUUCCAGAGCCUCAAUGCCAAGAUUGUCUAGGGUGUGCCCAACCACUGAUAAUUCCAGCAUAAAAUUUUCAUGGGAACCUCAAUGGCUUAUUAGUGCUAGCCACCAAAGCCCGUAUUUGAGGAUCCUCCCAAAUCUGAAUUGAAGUUUCCAAAAGUUUGGUCUCAUCCAAGGCAAGAGAGUUCACCUUUUGAGAAGCAUAAAGACUAUACCUUCACUGUGUUUUGUCUCCGCCUGUUUUCUUCAUCUUGCUACAUUUCUUUUGGGGCCCUUUUGAGCUGCCUUCUAGCAUUGUAGAGUCGUUUGGAGCUGUUAUCAGCAUCAAGCUCUUUUCUUAGUUUNNNNNNNNNNNNNNNNNNNNNNNNNNNNNNNNNNNNNNNNNNNNNNNNNNNNNNNNNNNNNNNNNNNNNNNNNNNNNNNNNNNNNNNNNNNNNNNNNNNNGGUGUGGGGUGGUUUUGUAUGGGUUUGCUAAUUGGGCGAGGAUUAACCAGGACUGUUCCUUUCAGCUAAUAUGAUGGUCAUUGAUUCCAUGCCUUGUAGGGCAUGAUGCUAUCAAAGGGAGAUCGGGUUGUAUCAGAAGUUGGGUUUGGGUUAGCUUAUGGAACAGUGAAUAUGGUUCAUGGGAAGGUUGGGGAUUUUGCGUAAAGGGUCAAAGUUGAAAAGGAAAUGGGAGAUUUUCAUCUUGGUAAAGAGUAGAUGAAAUGACUGCUUUAUUCAGCGAAGAACAUCAGGGUUUUCUGGGGUGAAAACUGCCACCGUUGGGGUAGGAUUCCCACCGAGAGAGGAUAUCCACGAAUUCCAACUCAAUUAGGUAAAAUUUUGGUGGAAAAGGUGCAAAAUGAUACAUUCCAAAGACACGGCGAACGGGUUUAAAUUUACAUUCCUAUUUGAAGUUCAUAUUUCUACAAGCCAAACACAUGUUCAAGGGAACAAGAAACCGGGAAUGAAAAAUUUCCCUUUCCAUUGAAAAUAAAAAUUGCAGACUUUGUCAUUGACCAUAAGGCUCCUUAGAACUUCAAUGUGGGUUUUCUAGUUCUUUUCUUUAAUUUGUAGUUUUCAUUUUGGGCUGAGAAUUGGAACGCCGUUGUCACGCUUUAUGCAGCAAUUGUUGAGGCCACCGCAAGGUCUCCAUCCUGAACAUCUAUUUAUUGUAUAGAAGCCCACAGUACUUGCCAUAUUUCAGUGAUGCAGGCACCAUGUCAUUUUUGAUAAUAAUUGUUCUCAUGUUUAGCAGUAGUUGAUCAACCACAAAAAAAAGCCCGACAUUAAUGGAAGAUCCUUCGUCACACUAUGCACAAAAUGAAGAAGAAAAAAGUUGAGUUCUUUCUAGAGAAGAGCAAGCACCACUGCAUGCACGAGCAGAAUUGGGAUUCGCAUUUUCUGCUACGUCCUUUGCUCUUGGAAACUAUUCUUUUGUGUAAGAAACAAUGCUGCCGCUGAAGCCUGCAAACUUCGAAAGAGCCUGAGCUUUCACGCAUGACUUCAAUAGCUCCUCAUCUUAAUGCUCUUGGGAAAGCGUCUAUCUAUUGUACGCCUCUUAAAUAGCUCCCUUCCAUUAUUACUAUGGGUGAGCAGCAAAAGCAUCUAUCUAUCGAACACCUCCCAAAUAGCUCCCUCCUAUUAUUAUUAUCCUUGCUAUUUCCCACACAGUAGCCUCAACAAAUAGACAUUGAUUUAUAAUAAUUGUUUUCAUCCAAAUUACGGUAUCUCUUUUAUGUUGCUUGCCUCCUUUCAAAAAUUGCAAAUUGGCACAAGAAAAAUUAUAAAUGAGCACAAUAUGAGAUUCCAUAAUUAAAUUGUUUAUGAUAAAAAAAAUCGCAAAAAUCAAUAUUACUUGGAACAGUCGGCCCGAAAGUUAAAGCAAAGAGGCAAGAACAUUUCUUUCCCUCACGGAUGGACGAGCCAACCCUCUUUUUAUUUCUAUUAGCAAAGCUUUGCAUGCUGAAGCUUUCUAAUGUCCUAUUUAUAGGGACCAAUCUACUGCUUCAGGAACCUUAGCUUUUGCAACGAAAUUUUUUGAAUUGUGUAGCCAAAAUUCCUGAACGAGAGAUUCACACGUUUAGCCACGAAGAUUGAAGCCCACAAAUUUUAAAAUACGAAAUCCUACAUUUUAGGAACCUUAGCUUCACGUACCACAUCNNNNNNNNNNNNNNNNNNNNNNNNNNNNNNNNNNNNNNNNNNNNNNNNNNNNNNNNNNNNNNNNNNNNNNNNNNNNNNNNNNNNNNNNNNNNNNNNNNNNCUUCUAAAAAAGUAGAGGUCAUGAUGACUUGGAGACACGGAAAGGAGGAGCGAUUGGGAAAAUUGAGAAAAAUAAUUGAUGAAUGCAUUUCCAUAGUACGAUGGGGAUUGCCGUCUCUAUCUUAUCCUCGAUACAAUUGGAAAGUUUGGAAUAAUUGACUGAAUUUAACCUGUUAUGCACAAGCAUUUAGGAAACACGGGAAGAUUUGAAAUAUAGAAAAAUUUUAAGUAUUGCUGAAAGAGAGAAAUUGAGUAAAUUUUAUGUAUUUCUAAAAGGAAAAUUUUACUACUCGAAAUUGUGUGUGGGUGAGUGGUUUCUUUCUUUUGUUAUUCUAAAUUGCAUAUAGCGUAGAGAUUAGUACUUGAUUGAUGAAAUUUGGGAUUUUGAUGAUGUUAGCAAAGUGUUAGUAGAGUCAUAAAUAAGCACUAUCACUAUCAAAUCUGACUUAUAAUUUUCUUGAAGCACUUCUUUUGAAGAAUGAUUCGCUUCCUCCAUUUAAAAUAUAUUUGGUUAUGUUUAUUCCCUUAAGCAAAUUCUUUCCAUUUCAUAUUAUCCAUCAGUAUGCUCAAUCGGAAGAACAAUUGCUUCAACUAAUUCAUAUGUUCUCUUCAGCAAAUUCCUUAAGUUCAGCCAUCUCAGUCCCUUAACAAUUCUUUUCAUGGUAAAUUAUUAGUAUGUUUUUGAGCAAUUGCUAUAUUUUCUUCACAAGAUUCCCCAGCCAUCUUAGAUUCCUUAAUCAUAUUUACAUGUCAAACUUGACCAAGUGCGGAACACUGAUCAAAUUCAUUAUGUCUAGAAAAAUCAUGUUAUGAUUUUAUGUUAUGUUCAUUCAAGCGUCAGAAUAUAGCAAUCGAGGCUCAAAAUGGAUGUGAAGUUAAAGUUGAGGCACUAGAUCAAGGCAAUGCAUAAAAGCCCCCCAAACGGUCACCGUGUAUAUAGGUUUCUAGAAGGUUCGCAUUCCCUGACCUCAAUUGGGGGAAAGAUCUCGAGGGAUGGUCCACAAAACGUGUAUGAUGGUCAAGCCAUGAAGGAUCCCCCCUUGUCACUCCGCCCACCCCCCCAUGUGUUUGUCCGCCGUGUUGAAAGCGUCACAGUUGGAUAAUCAAGAGCUUGAGCCUGAGCAUUGGCAACGUUGAUUCCACCGACCGAGCUCUGGAUCAAAAACCCAAUCACUAGCUUGUCGACCACAAAGUUCUUACAGGAUGAGGGAAGUUGUGCUACUAUGACAUGCAUCUCUUCAUUCUCGAAUUAUAAAGCCGAUAUUCCAGGGCGCUCUUGCAUUGUUCUGUUGGCAAUAGACUUGCCGAAAGUAGAAAAAUUCGAUGAAGCGAACAAUUAAUUGAAGCAUGCUGAAGUUCAAGCUGCCACAAAACGGUGCAAGGGAAGUACAUNNNNNNNNNNNNNNNNNNNNNNNNNNNNNNNNNNNNNNNNNNNNNNNNNNNNNNNNNNNNNNNNNNNNNNNNNNNNNNNNNNNNNNNNNNNNNNNNNNNNNNNNNNNNNNNNNNNNNNNNNNNNNNNNNNNNNNNNNNNNNNNNNNNNNNNNNNNNNNNNNNNNNNNNNNNNNNNNNNNNNNNNNNNNNNNNNNNNNNNNNNNNNNNNNNNNNNNNNNNNNNNNNNNNNNNNNNNNNNNNNNNNNNNNNNNNNNNNNNNNNNNNNNNNNNNNNNNNNNAUUGAUUUAACCUUUGUGGUCUAUUUUUAUCGAAAAUCAUUGAUGUGAUGAUUUAGUUAUCUUGGAUUGUCCAGGAAUCUCCAUUAAAAAUUGAUCAUAAAAGCUAUAUUAAAAUAUCGCAUAAAGGUUUAGAAUUAAAUUGAAGAGAUUGCAAAAUUAAAAACUAAAUUGACGUCCAUACAAUGAGUUUAGAAUUGAUUGGAUAAUUUUUUCCAUAUGAUAACCGAUUUAAAAUACAAAAAACAUUCACGAGUAUGACGUACAUGGCACGUGGUACGAUGCAUGUGAUCCUACGUACCCAUUCAUAUCUUAUUCCCUGUUGCCUAUCUUUGAGCUACAAGCAUUGCAAAAAUUAUGCCAUGCCUUCAAUUUUUUAAUUUAAAAAAAAAAAGACCGUUGAUGGUUUGGUUGAAAAAUCAUCUGAAGGUAACCUUGGAGCAAAAUUCAUUUUGAAACUAGACAUCAUUUAUCACUCAUUGUUAUUGGGUAUGGAAGCACGAUAGUAGAAGCACGAGAAAAUUGUAAUGAGCAACUCGGGUCAGGACAUACUUAAUUGAAAAUAUGGUAUGAAUAUAACAUACACAAAACAAGAAUUGUUGCACAAUUAUCACACACAUAUUUUAUGAUUAGUGAAAGCUUACACUUACUAUUAAGAUUGUUUUUCUCACAUGACACGCAAAAACACUUGAAGCGAAGUGAACUCUUUUUUGCUUCUUUCCCGCACGGACGAGGCAACUCUUUCUUUUUCUCCUUGGUUUAGAGCCCAAAAACUUUGAAAGAACCUGAGCUUUCACGGAUGGCUUCAAUAGCUCCUCCUCUUCAUUUUCUUGUGAAUGCAUCUAUCGUACGUCUCCCAAAUAGCUACCCUACUAUUACCCUUACUAUUUCCUACGUAAUAGCCUUGACAAGUAGACGUUGAUUUCUGAUAAUUGUUUGCCAAAGAGAAUAAUUACAGAAUCUCUUGUCAAUAUCUCGAUUCGAUGAUGUGCGUGCUACACAGAACUUGAAUAAGAGUGAAUAAAGGCUACUCGGACAAAACUUCAGGCGGACGAUUCGGAGAACGUACUGAUUGAUGUGGGUGCUUUAACCCUCUUUUCCUUUUGCUUUUAAAAAGCUAGAGCAACCAGCGUGUUUCACAUUGACGCCAGAAGGAAGAGGCUCGUGACUUUGCAGACUCGGAAAAGAAGAGCGGUAAGGACAGAUGAGGAAAGCGACAAAGGUCCCCUGGGAAGCAGUCGAUCAAAUAUUAUAUGUGAUUCUUUACAGAUCGCUCAAGCACUGUGAAUUCGCGAUGAGACGGGGGUACUGCGGGUUCAUUGAGUGAAGUAGAGAGGUCUCUCUGUUUCUCUGCAUCUGUCGUCAUGAAUAUUAGCAGAAAGAAGAGAGAGGAGAGGGAGAUAGACGUGCGUGCACAGUCCACAUGAGAUAGAAAGACUGAUUUUUCCAUUUGCAAAACACAAUGAUUGAAAAAGCCGUCGACCGAUGUAGUGGAGGUGUAAUUGCAUGUCGCAAUGCAUUGCUUGUGACUCGAAUCAGGAAAUUACCAUUCAUCAUCCUUCAUCAAAUUAAUUGUGAAUGAAGUGGUUUUGGUCAUUUUUCAUUCAGAUCUAAUAGAGAUAAAAUCCCACUCGUGACUUGUAAGGUGUAACAUGGGGUUAUUUUCCUUUUUUUUUUUUCUUUUCAAUGUUCUUCUUGUCGUUGUUUUUUCACACCCAGACACAACCGUUAUUUCUUCAAGAAAAUCCACGAUUACCCCCCCUCCCCCCCUUCCUUUCUCUCUCUCUCUCUCUCUCUGGCCACGUGCGAAAGGAGUAGGAGUUUCUUUCGGUAGGAAAGAGAAGGAUAUUUAACAAAAAUAAAUUAAAGAAAAAGGAAGGAGAAAAGUGUGGGAAAUGGAAAAGAGGGCAUCCGAAAGGAGAGGUACUAUUCGUUUUGUAAAUAUGAUUUCUACUAUGCUAAAGAAGCCAACAAGGUUCUCCUUUAACUUAGCACGAAGAUAAAUUUAUAAUUCACAAGAGAUGUGAUGUGAGAGAUAACACAAAUGCAACAAAUUAACUUCUCAUCAUUUUGAGUAAUCCAUAACCAAUUAAACAAUCGAUGCUCGCCUUAUUAAGAAUUUAUCUUUUAAUAAUAUAAUAACUUGAGUUGACGAGGAUGUACAGUGAUCGUUAGAGUUAGAAAGUCUAGAUAGAGAGUGGCUCUUGACGGACUUUUAAGAUGACAAAAUAGACAUAAAUGAAUCGAAUUGUGCAUCAUAUAAUAAGAUAGCGAUUUUGAAAUAUAUAUAUAUAUAUAUAUAUUGAAAUUAUAUUAGGAUCCCACAACGACUCAAUUCGGAAUAGUCAACAAAGCUCAAGGAUCUAGAUAAAGAACCGUUCUUAUUAAGGUUUUAGGAUGACGAAAUGGUAGGAAUAAAUCAAAUGGGAGGCCGAUUCACACAUUAACACACAAAGGUUUCAGCCCACAAAUUUUGAUGGGCAAAAUCCUAAACUUUAUGAACCUUGGCUUCACGUACACGUCAAGAGCUCCUCAUCCUUCAUUUUCCUGUGAAAGCAUUUAUUGUGUCCCCCAAAUAGUUUCCUACUGGUGGACUUACUAUUUGCUACAUAGUAGCCUAUGGACGUUGAUUUCUAGAUCCAAUGAUGCCCCCGCUACACGGUUCGAUUAGAGGACAAAUAAUUCACGCGGAUUUUUCUGGGAACGUACCGAUCCAUCGUGUCGGUGCUUUAAGCUUUUCCCAUUUUCUUUUGGACCUUCAACCAGCGCGUUUCACAUUGACCCUAAAAAGAAAAGUUCAUGAUGGCCUUGGAGACUUGGAAAGAUAGGUGAUAGGAUGGAUGGGAGAAAUAAUUGGCGAAUGCUUUUUAGUAAUGUGAUGGUGGUUGUGUCUUCAAAACAAUGUUGCUAAUGUCAUUUGGGCCAAAAAUCAAAGAAAAGUAAGUGAGAACAUGAGUGCCCGAUGGUUUUAUGAUCUUAAAUCAUUGUCCUUGUCAUUGUCAAAGUUCAUAAGUUAAUUAAGAACAAUAUUGUUGAUUUGCUUGCACAUAAAAAAGAGAGCAUAAUUUCUUAGAGCUAUGAGUUAAGCCUAUAAAAUGAAAUAUGUUUCAUAUAUAGAUCUAAAUGGAUACAAUGAAUCAACUUAUUAGAUAAAAGUAAUAGUGACUCACCAAAAAACUUUCAAUGGGUAAUGGGUACACGUGACACUUUUGUGAGUGAUGUCUAUCUUAACUUUUUAUUUUUUGAAAAAUUUUCCUUAUACCUUUCCACUGUAAUCAAACUAAAUAUUUUUCAGAUUUAGUUCAAGGUGCGUAUAAUUACUUUUGAUAUUCCAAAAUUCUCUUAACCUCAUGAAGAUUAAGUAUACUCCUUGAAUAAUUAUUUCUUGUGAUCACGGUAACAUAAUUAUAGUGGCAAUAUCGCUAUUAUGUUCUUUUCUUUCUUUUCUUUUUUCUUUUUUUCUUUUUUAAUGGGAGUGGUUGUCAAGGCCGAUUAGGAGCAGACGUCCAGGGCCAGGAGUGAGGACCCCGAGAUGGCAACAAUUAAGGAAUUGUUUUUAGUCAAUUUACAAUCAAAUUUUUUGGUCAAAUUUGAACAAGUCUCUAGUCAACACAUGAAAAGGUCAAAAUAAUUAUUUUAGAAUUUUAUGCAAAAUUUCACGCAAAUAAUUAGAUAUUGGAUUUAUAUUGUUCAGUCCGUGAAGCUUAUCCACGGGGAAAACAACACAAAAUUUCACUAUAAAUCAAACGAUAUGAUAAAGUUUACAUGGUACUUUCAAUAUUUCUCAGCUCCCAUUGUACCCAUUAACCACCAUGGCAUUUGGCUUCACGAUUCAUCAUGAAGUAAUCUUGAAUUCACAAAUAUUACCAUAAGAUUAAGUUACUGUUUGGUAACAUGUUGAACAGUAACUAUUUUUUUUCUUUUAUUCCUUGAAAAAAAAAAUCCGUUUUGUAACUUUUUUAUUCUUAGGAAUAGAUUUGGAACGGAAUCGAGAAAUAAAAAAAAACUGCUUUUUUGUUUCCAAGAACAACUCAAUAAUCAAGUCCAAAUCAUUUUUUUUCCUCUUUUCUUUUCUUUCUUUUUCUCUUCCUCUUCUUCUUCCUCUAAUCGUUCGCUAGGCACCGUGAUGGCCAAGGUUUGGCAACCUCUCCGUGGUCGAGUCUCACCAUGGCUAGGCGAAGCUCGGCCUCGUCGAGUUUGGCAAGGCUCCCCCGAGGCUAGCAAGGUCAUUAGCCAUUAUUGUGGCUGGUGACUCGCUAGAGGAAGAAGAAGAAGGGAAUGAAAAGAAAAAAAGGAAAUUUUUCAUUAAGUAAAGGAAAUGCUAUGUUAGAAAAAAAUUCAAGAGCAGUACCAAGUGCAUUUCUAUUAUUUUUUUUUAAUUUCAAGAAUAGAAAUUUUGUACAAUUAUCAAACAUCUUCGAAUGUUUAGAAACUCAUUCAGAGAAUAGAAUUAGAAAAAAAAUUAUUUCUCAGCGGAAAUUAUUCACAUGAACAGAAUGAUUACCAAAUACACCUUAAGUAGGUUUGAACAUUUAAAGCUCAUCUUAGAUGUAAUUCAGGAAAAAGACCAACUAUUCACGCGGACGUUUUCUAGGAACAUACUAUUGUGUUGGUGCUUUAAGCUUUUUUCCUUUUUCUUUUGGACUAGCAACCAAGGCCUUUCACAUUGAUACUAAAAAGAAGAGGUUCAUGAUGACCUUGGAAACUCGGAAAGAAGAGUAGUAGGGCCAGAUGAGAAAAAUUAUUGAUGAAUGCUUUUAGUAAUUGGAUGGUGGCGGUGUCUCUCCCAUAUCCUCGAUGUAGUUGGGAAAUUGGAAUAGUUGACAGAAUUGAACUUGCUAUGUACAAGCAUUUAGGAAAUACCUAAAUUCAUUAGGGAUUUGAGAUAUAGGAAAGUUUUACGUAUUGUUGAAAGUGAGAAAUUGAGUAAUUUACCUAUUACUACUAGCAAGUUGGGCAAAAAACAUAACCUAGUCUUAUUAUAUGGUAAAAUCGUGUAAUUGAUUAGAUACACCGAUGGUAAUUUAGAAACAAAGUCAACAAAUGCAAUAGGAAGUCAUCAACAUCUUUAGAAAUUCACUGGAGGCUCACCGACAACCACGAAGAAGAAAGCAGAAAAGAAAAGGAAAAAAAAUCAUAAAAAAUCAUAAAAAAAUUCGAAAAAGUCAUAAAAAUUGCCACGUCAGCAUCCGGCCACCGGUCGACGUCCAUGUCAGCGCCGGCCGGCCAAAAUUGACCAGAUGGAUUGAAUUGGUACCAACAUUAAAAGGUUUAGGACUGAAUUAGUCCAAUUGAAAAGUUUAUGACUGAAUUGGUACCAAUGUAAUAGAUUUAAGACUUUUUGGUACUUUUCCCGGCAAACUGUAGUGCUGAUAUGAAAAUCAUAUCGUCUUGAUUCCAUUCAGCAUUGAGAUAGAACCGCCACCAGAUAAUGCCUAAAAGCAAAAGGCCACGACUAAUCACGCGGAGGAAGACUCCAAGCAGUGGAAAGGAACGGCGCGCUUGGAGCAGUGAAUGGAAUGAUCAUCCACCGGAUGUUGCCGAGAACCGAACGUCGAGGAUGAGGAGUUUUGACCACAAGAAGGCAACGAGUGAGUAGUUGUUUUUUGGUCAAUUUGAAGGCAUCUCCAGAUUCCUUGUGUGAACACAUGAAAUACAUGAAACUACUUACGUGCUGUGAGAGAUUAAAAUACACAUUAUAGUCGAGCAAUCAUGCCUUGACUCUUGCUUUCCCCCCUUCCUCUUUACCAGCCACUCUAUAAAUGUGGCGCAGAGAGAGUCCACUAAUUAUUUCCUGCUCAAACCUAUCCACAAUAGUCGAGCCUCUGUGAGAGAGAGAGAGAGAGAGAGAGAGAGAGAGACCGUGCUCUGCGAUGGAAGAACGACAAUUCAAGCGAGCAAAAUUCGCUGAAGCUUCGAGUUCGUCCUCCUCUGAGACUGGAAACAAUUACUAUGUAUUCCUAAGCUUUAGAGGUCCCGAUACUCGCAAUGGCUUCGUCGAUCACCUCUACCAUACACUGCGAGAUGUGGGCCUGCCGUUCCAUAGUAACUUCGUGUUCAGAGAUGAUGAGGACCUCCCCUUCGGUGAGGACAUUGCUGCAAAUCUUCUUAGUGCAAUUGAGCACUCUAAGAUUUCAAUCCCAGUCAUCUCAGAAAAUUAUGCUGCUAGCGAAUGGUGCCUUCGCGAGCUCAUUCAGAUAAUGAAGUGCCAGAAAAAAGGACAAAAAGUCUUCACCGUGUUUUACAAGGUGAAACCCUCUGAGGUGCGAGAACUAAAGGGGGCAUUUGGAGAGGCCUUUAGAUCCAAUAUGCCUCUUUUUAAGGAUGAUGUCAAGGAGCAAGGGCCAGAAGCACUCAGAGAAGCAGCUGCUUCUAGAAUAUUCGAAUCAGAUAAAUUUGCUAAUGGGUACGUCGUUUACCUUGUUUUAACAUGUCCUUAUCGCAAGAAGAAUUUUCCUAUUUAUCAUCCUUAGUCCUCGUUUUGUGGAUCCAUUAAUAAGUUCUCAUGUGUUGUGUUGUUUGACAGACGUGAAGCGGAAUUAAUAAAAGAACUCAUACGAGUAAUAAUGUGUGAGCAGCAACAUGAUUUCCUACUACCUCUUCCUGGGAACUUUAUUGGAAAUGAUGAUCGUGUGGCUGAGGUAAUGAAAUUGGCAAACACUGAUCCUUCCAAAACACAAAUUAUUGGGAUUUGUGGGAUUGGUGGCAUUGGUAAGACAACUCUGGCCAAAAACAUCUAUAAUAAGCUUGCUAAGAAAUUUGAGUGCUGUAGCGUUCUUAUGGAUAUUAGAGAAACAAUUAAUCGCAAUGGUAUGGAGCAUAUCCAAAAUCAACUAAUCUCAGAUAUAUCAAGAAAUCAGGGAAGUUGUGUGCCUGAUUCUAUGAGAGGGAUUGUAAACAUCCGAUCAAGUUGUGAAAAAAAAAAGGUACUUAUUAUUCUUGACGAUGUGGGUCAUCGAGACCACCUUGAUAAAUUGAUUGGAGGUUGUAAUUUCGGGUUAGGAAGUAGAAUCAUCAUUACUUGUCGAGAUAAGGCCCUCUUGAAGUCUGAAUAUAAAUGUUAUGAACUCGAAGUAAUGAAUGACAAACACUCUAUGCUUUUGUUUAGCUUGUAUGCAUUUGGAGCAAAACAACCUCCAACAGAACUUGCAACUCUUUCUAGGGAUAUUGUUGCCACCAUAGGAGGGCUUCCUCUAGCUCUCGAGAUUAUAGGUUCAUAUCUCAAAGGAAAAAGAAAAGAUGAAGUCAUAUGGAUAGAGACGCUAGAGAAAUUGAGAAAGGUACCUCAUACGGAUGUACAAGAAAAGUUGAAGAUAAGUUACAAUGCAUUGGAACAUAAUGAGAAACAAAUGUUUCUAGACAUAGCAUGCUUUUUCAUUGGAUAUGACAAAAGAUUUGCCACCUACCUGUGGAAGGAUAUCCAAUUGCAUCCAAAUUCCGGAUUGGCAAGAAUGAUUGAACUUUCGUUAAUAAAAUAUGAUGAUGGUGGUAACUUGAGAAUGCAUGAUCAUUUAAGAGAUUUAGGCAGAGCUAUUGCCCAUCCCGAAGGUACGCAGCCUUGGCUUGUAGCAGACUAUGGGUGAGAAGCCAUGAAAGUUCUAAGACGCAAGGUAAUGGUUAGUCUACUUUGGCUCUCCCAUGUUCUCUAAUGGUAGCUUUUUAAAUUAUUAUCUUAUCAAUCUUAUUUUUUCUUCUAUAUCUUAGAUUAUUCUCAACGCGUUGUUAGCAUUUCUUGGUAAAAGCUACAUCCAAUUUUGGCCUUUUGUUCAUGAAAAGUUUGCACUCAUGAUUAUGAGGCUCAUACAAUAGCUAUUAAAAUUGUUUACUAUUAACUCUUCCUAUUUUGCUCGUGUCGUUUUAACAUCAUUUUCUAGCAGAUUUGAUAUUGCUUCUUACUAUUUUACUAUUUUACUUGUUGAAGACCGAGCAUCACAGAGGUUUGAAAGUUUACUUAAUGCCACUUAUAAAUCCAGUCCCUCACACUCUAAAACGCAUUAGAGACUUAGAGUCGUUAUAACUUUAUGCCGAUUGGUUUAUAUUAUUCAACCAAACAACAAAACCUUACUUUUGAUCAUUACUUUUUGGUCAUUCAUUCUAUCUUCCCAAAACAUAUGAGCAAUUUAUAGUACGUGGUGUGAGGAUAAAUACAUGGAUCACAUAUUACCCACCUUUUUUACUAUCGAAAUCUUACUUCUCCAAAAUAUGAAGAAUUUUUACAAUUUGUUUUCUAGGAUUUAUUAUGCAUGUUCACGAUGUAAAUCCAAUAUGAUAAUGCAAAUAUAGAACUACAUGAAAAUUAAAGAUUUAGUUUAAAUUGUAUUACUCAGUGAAUGUUAUUAACAUAAUUGAAGCAAGCACCUUGAAAUAUAUCGAUUUUAGAAAUGCAUAAUUCUGUUAAUAACGUGGUUGGGUUAGUUAAUAACAUGAAACAACACUACUUAACUUGGAUGUCUCUUAGUCAACAAUAAAUAGAAAGCUCUUAUUUUUCUUUUCACUUGAAGGACUGGUAAAUUUAAAAAAAAAAAAAAAUCAAAUUCUCUAUUGUGACUUUGGCUUUUCUUUUAUUGUCGCCUAUACCAACUUACAAUCAAAUUAACAAAUUACCAAAAAAAAAAAAAAAGGAAGAUUGUUCAAGAUACAUUAAUUAUAAAGGAAUUGGCAUAUUUAAUGAUAUCUAGUUUUAAUUAUGAGCUCCACAUGUGUACGAUGGAUCAAUCAUGUUCUUUCAUAUGAAAGAUGAGAACUCACAGGAUUUUGAUAUGUGAUGCAACAACAUAAGGCUGUUCCAUUUCUACCCAGCUUUCAUAAUAUAUACUUGUAUUCAUAUUGAUGCUAUGCACGGAUCUAGUUAGGGGUAUUUUGAGCACAUAAUUCAACAUUAACAAAUGUUGUGCAAAAUCAAACGAUAGUAAAUUACGACAAAAGAAACUAAAUAACAACUGGUAUAUGAUUUUAUACAUAUUCAUACAUAGUGAUUUUCAAUUAAAAAAAAAACUGAAAAGGAAAUAACGAUGUUAAGAAAUUAAAUAAUUGUAGGAAAUAAGUGAUGGAAUAAUGAAAGGUAAAAGAAAUUGUGCUCUCCUCCUUUUAUCUGCCUUUGGUGUAAUAUAAUAUCCACCUCUAAUAUGUAGUGAGCGAGCCUUUCUCGGUACAGAUUAAUUGAGCCUCUGUGCACACACACCAACAGAGGAGACAAAAAUCUAUUGUUAGAUUUUAGUGAAGAAAAAACAAAUAAUUAACUUAUUAAAUGAGAUAACUGGAGGAGCAAAAAAUAAAUGUUAGAAUGCAAAAAAAAUGAAGAUGAUAAUAAUCACUAUCCUUUUUUUACUAAUUCAUAUAUUUUUAUAUGAAUGGGUGAAUGGCAAAAAAAUGCACUAACAAAUUCUCGAGAUGAGGUCGAAUUUUAUACUGAUUGGGGCAAAUUUACUAAUAACUAAUUGAGUAGUGCUUUAAUUUUAGGCGAAAUUAUCCAAUUAGUCAUAAAUUUAUUGUGCGGAUGUCUGUGCAGUCAUAAACUUAUCAAUUUUACCAAUUUAGUCUUUAAUCUUUGCACAAAUUUCCAAUAUGGUCAUUCCGAUCAACUUUUGCCGCGAUCCAAUCAUGUAUGGCUAUCCUACAUGGUACACCGUCACAUUAGCAAUUUCCUGUAAAAAUUAGCCGAAAUAACUACAUUGGAAUUUCACAUAAAGAUUUUAAGACUAAAUUGCAAAAUUGAUACAUUUAGGAUUGAUUGGACAAUUUCUCUCCUAUCUAAGGAUUAGUUGUUGUGCUUUGAGCUUGUAUAUCCAAAAAUGAAAACUCAAGUUCAAUAGACAAAUUUCUUGUUUUCCAUCUAGCCAUGCGCCAAAACCAAAAACAUUUUCUGAAGGGGAAGGGAAUGAGUUGUCAUGCUUUAUGAAUGUAUAAGUCUAAUUAGGUACUUUUUGUUUUUGAAAUAUGUAACAGUUCUCACAUAUGUCAAAGGGGCGCCAUAUUUAGUCAGUUGUCAAUACUAUGUAUGUUACAAAAUUUAUUUCAAAAUCUAGAAGAAAAUUAGACUAAUUUCAUAUAGGAAUUUCACAUAAAACAUCAAAAAAUGGGGGCAUACGAGUGAAAAUCGACAUAUUGAAGAUCACGUAAUUGUAGAAGAUUAGAUAUGUUUCCUUUUCCCUAUAAGUGUAGACAAAAUGCAUUGGCCACAAUAACAUGUAGAGUAUACUACCAAAAGGAGGGUGGAUAGUUUUUACAAUCCUCAAUUUUAUUCUAUUUUUUGUAGGAGGAAAAUGAAAACAUUGAGGCACUACGUUUGGACAAAAAGGGCUCUAGACAGUUCAUGAAGCAACAGAGCUUCAAAAAAAUGCCUAACUUGAAGUUCCUUCAUGUGAAGGCUGUGGAUUUUUAUGGAGAUUUCAAAGGAUCGCUUUCUGAAUUAAGAUGGCUAAGGUUGGAGACAUCUCCUAACUCGUUCGAGGCAACCAAUGUUCAUUUGCAGAAAUUGGUCAUGCUUGAUUUAUCAUACAAUAAUAUUGGGGGAUAUAUUGAUGAAAAUUGGAGAGGAUGGAGUUCAAUUAAGGUAAAGAUGGAAAAAGGCUUUCUCUUUUGUUACAUUUGAUGAUAAAUCAUUCUAUUUUCUAAUUGCUAAUAUUGGAACAUGUUUCUUUCUUAUAGAUGGAGAGGCUGAAAGUUCUCGAUCUUUCAGGUUCCUGCCAUUUACGAAGCACUCCUAAUCUCUCCGGGUUUAAAAAUUUAGAGAUGCUAAUCUUGAGACAUUGUCCUUUGAAGGAAAUCGAUCCUUCCAUUGGAGAUGUCAAGCGCCUCGUUUCCUUGAACUUGGGCUAUUGUCGAAGUCUAAAGAAGUUACCUAAACAACUCGGCGAACUAGAAAAUUUGGAGGAACUUGUCGUAGAGUAUACUGGGAUAAAAGAAAUCCUUCCAUGUAUAAGAUCUUCGAAGCGGCUAAAGAAUCUUAGUCCCAAAGAGUGUUCGCAACUUACUGAAGUUCCUGUCUCAAUAACCAGUUGGUCAAGUUUGUCGUUAGGAGAUUACCACAAGUCGCCACCAAUCCCUUCUUCAAUUGGGAAGUUGGGACAGUUGGUUAAGCUGAACUUGUCAUUGACAAAUGUUAAGGAACUGCCCGAAUCCAUUGGGGAAUUGAAAAAAUUGAAAAUUUUGAACAUUGGUUGUAGCUCAAUAGAAAGAUUACCAAGCUCUAUUGGAAAAUUGCAAAGCCUCCAAGAGCUCGAUGCCAACCAGUGCGAUAAACUGGAAGGACAAAUUCUUGUUGAUGAAGGUGGAUUGUCUUCUCUAAAGACCCUUGAUUUAUCUCACACAAAAAUUUCUGGCUUGCCAGAAAACUUAGAUCAGCUUCAUUCUCUCGAGGACCUCAGUUUAUAUGCCUGUCAUGAGCUUGAGUCAUUCCCAAAACCUCCUUUUAGCUUAUUAGCCUUGGAGCUCACCUGUCGGAGCAAUGAGCUGCCAUCGCUCUCUCACCUCAAGCAUCUACAACUUCUCACCCUUCGUGAAUGCAUGUCUCUUCAAAGCAUGCUAUCGCUCUCUCAGCUGAAGCGUCUACAGGAUCUCAAACUUGAGUGUUGCGAGUCUCUUCAAAGCAUCCCAGAGCUUCCCUCCUGCAUACAAACGCUUGAAGUUGUGGGAAGUCCCGAAUUGAAAAGCUUGCCAAAUCUUUCCGAUUUUGAAUUUUUGUCGGAACUAAGGCUUCAGGGUUGCGACAAGCUGAAGAAAUUGGAUGGACUGGAAUGUUUAAAAUCCCUAAGAAGGUUGGACCUAUCAGUAUAUGGUGAAUCGAUGUCUCAUCUCCAUGUGAUAGAAGGCCUUGAAAAAUUAGGAUCUUUGGAAUGGUUGGAUAUCUCUAGUCGCGAGCACAUUCAAGUACUGGACCUUUCAAAGUCAGAGCAUCUAGAGCGGUUGAUUGUUAAGGAUUGCAAAAGCUUAGUUGAAAUUCGCUGCCAUAGUAAAUUCCUAGAGCUCUUUGAUAGGCGUAGGUGCGAGUCACUCAAGAUAUUACCGGACUUUUUACCACAUGACGGGCUAUGGUCGGAUCUUCAUGAGGGCAACGACGACUUCUUGGACUGGGAUAGUUGGUAGUAAGAAGAGGAGGAGGGUAGAAAUCGAGCACAGAGAGAAGGGGGAGAGAUUGAGGUCCACUAUCAUCUGGUGGUUUGUUUCUAUCUUACUUCCGAUGGACGAUGAUGGGAUGACUGAUUUGAAAGUGAGAUUCAUGCUCACAUGCUCCGCUAGCUGAGAAAUGGAAUUCGGCUUCUAACCUCACCCACUCACCGAUUGCUUGAAAUGGAGCAACACAGGAGUUUGAUGAUGGGGUGAUUAUGGAAGCGAGAGAAUGUUGGAGGCGAGGAAUCUGGUGAAGGAUCUUCAUGUUAGGUCUUCAUUGCUUCCGGUUGCCAUAUCUUCAGAGUCCAGGUGAUUGGACCCCUUUUAACAUUAAUCCAUUUUUGUCGCCGAUUGAUCAGUUUAUUCGUUGGUUGAUUCUUGGCGUGAUUGGUGCGUGCACAUUCUGGUGAUUCGAGGUUUUGAGUCGCUAUUGUUGGUCUGAUUUUGGAUGUUCGAUGUCUGCACAUGGAGGAAAUGAAAUGAAACUAAUAUGAGCUUUUCAGCAUGUUCAGUGAAGCAUGUUUAGUUGUCCUGUUAUAUUUAUCAGCUUGUGAUUCCUGUUAGGUGCAGAGAUCUGCUCGAUUAUUCUCUUCUACCAGUUUGCUAUGGUGCAACGAGAUAACUCUAGCAGCUUUUGAUUAGGUUUCGUGUUAAUGGUGGUGAAUUUUCCUUGUGUUAUCUUAGCAGUUGCAGAGCAUGUAUAGCAGGAUUAUCAGGACUUAUGAGCCUAUUACAGGUUUAGGUUGAUUUUAUCACCCUGUCUAGGUAGCCUAGAAAGCGAUUGCAGAGUUGUCGGAACUAAUGUGAAUUAACUUCAAGUUGAAUGGGAAGAUUACCUUGAUUGAUGAGGUUCUACUUUCCUAGCCAUUUCUUUCUUGUUCUCGGAUCUUGAAGCACCUUGAGGGGUGAUGAGAAGUGGAAAGAUGAAUAGUCUCCUAUGAACCAUUUGUUUGUACCUAUGAUCCAAAGUAGGAUUUUCUUCAUGAGCCUGUGGAAAUUCCUUCUCAUAAGAUUCUCCGAGGAUGUCCUUACUCAUCUGAGUUAGCUAAUAACAAUUGAAAUGGUGUUGAAUGCUACUAAUUUCACACGGAAAAUGAUACUAGUGGUUUGAAUUGUUGUGAUGGUGAUAUGGCUUGUUCAUUUUGUCCUUACUUUUUCUUUGCUAGCUUUCUAGUUGAAUGGAAUUGCUCCUUAUCUCCUUCCGACUGUGGGAAAAUGCAAAAACUUGACCUGUGAUAAUAGAAGUCCAUUGGUUUCUUCUUUGACCAGGAUUUAUCGGGCUCUGACAUUGUGGUGUGUUUGGAAGAACUUUUGCUUUUAACUUCCGUCUAUUGUUUUUAGCAUUUGCAAUGUGUGUUCUGUUCAAUACUCAGUGCUUCAAACCUUCAGAAAACAUAAAACUUUGCAUUUUUUGGCCUAUUAUAGCAAAAUAAUUCUUGUCUUGUUGACAAGGUCAGGAAGUACCUUUUGAUUUCUAAUGUUGAAACGGAAACACCAUUAAAUUUGUCUCUAUUUCCAUGGUUGGUUUUCAUUCUGUCAUCCUUUGUAUGGAUCCUCUACAAUGUGAUGGUCUUGCUUUUUGAAGGUUACAAACUCUAUGCUAGUCGAUUGUUGCCCGCACCGAUGUGAAAUUCAGAGUACAGAGCUAAUUGAAUCUGAUUGUUACCUGAAGAUUUCAGUUCACAAAAAGGUGUUGAAGAAUGACGUUGAGUCAUGCUUGAGAAAUAUCUGGUUGUCGGCUGGUUCAAUUAUGAAUUUGAGGAUUGCGUCUCCAGUGGGGUUGGGUUAUGUUUGAUGCCGGGUGGAGACUGCUUUGGCCAACUUAUUGUCUGUUCCUUAGCUUUUCAAUGUUUUUCUUUUCUCAUGCUGGGCAAGAAGGUUGGUCCACAAAUGAGUCGUGCCCUCUAUUGCUGGUGCUGCAUUGUUCCGUGGUGGAGUCUCUCGCCGAUUUGCCUGCAAAAACUCCAUCUGUGUUGUUUGGGAAGCUUGAUUGUGGAAUGGUAAGGAAGAAGAUCAAUCUCUGGAGCUUAGUUUGGAGGCUUUAGACGUUGCCACCAUAAAAUAAGCAACAUUUGUUUUGUCCAAUUUCAUUAGUGCAGAUAAUUAUGUGUCACUGUUCAAAUCCGCUUUUGCUGAACAAGUGUAGUCUAUAUUUACAUUAAUACAUAAAAUGUUGUUUGGGGUGUUCAUCUGCAAGUUUAAAAGUUGAAGCACGCCGGUUGGUAGCUGAUUACCAAUUUGGUGUUAGUUUUUGUCCCUAGUAGUUUGGUGCAAUAUGUUGUGAUUGACUUAUCGUGAUGAAGUUACUGUAAUACUUGGCAUUUGACCAACUAAAAAGGAAAUUCUGGGGCCUUGAAAAAAAGAAAAAAAAAACAAAAGAGAAGGUUGAAAAAUCAACUAAACAAGGGAAGUGGACGUCGGCUAAAGGGAAGAAAAAUAAGACACUCGGCUCCCUCUUAAACUGAGAGCUCAUUUAGAAGGAAAAUGGAGAGGAGAGAGAAAAAGAUUUGAUUCUGGAGAUCACUAACAUCUCCUACUAAACAAAAAAUAUAGCAGGUAUGGUGUGGAGAUUUCCUACUUUCAGUAGUAUUUUCAGUUUGGACAGGGCUUUUCUUUGACACGUUAUUUUUUUGCCUGUCUUAAUUCUAGCAACUGGAGGAAGUUAUUUGAGCAAAGUAAGUGUGAUGUUUUAGUAUUAUCUGGCUCGUGAUCAUGACAUGAAUAAAAAAGAUCCCAAAAGGAUAUUUGAUGUCUUCAAUCAUAUAGUACGAGAUUCUUCAUUCUGACGUGGUAUCAAUCUGCGCUUGUGUAAUGAAGUAAUACUCUUCUCCAACUUCUAUGAGUAGAGAAAUCACUAUCCAAUGGAUUUGGAAACUGCUCAUGCAUUUUGGAUCUGAUUGCAUUUUAUUAACUCGUUAUCUGGUCAAGGAAGUAGGCAGUGAAGGUACCAUAAACGUGCUCUGCAUUUCCUCAAAGCCAGAGCACUAAUGUCAAGAUAAUGAAUCUCCAUGGAUAUAUGUCAAACUUUGUUUGUCACUUAAUAUGCCAAUAUGAAGGUUGCUCUCUUUGAAGGCAGAUAUAUGGCCUUGAUCAAGCUGAAAGUAUUAUCAUUAACAGUGGAAACCCAGUGCAAAUCAUGUUGCUGCUCUUUCCUUGUAUUACUUCAUGCCUUUAUUAAUCAUCUUGCAAAUUCGUACCUUAACAUCAUUUGCAAUUUAUUACUUCAAUUCGGUCAUCGUUUGGUAAUGACAAUGUCUGCACCCCUAGAGGCUUUAGAAGAACAGAGGAUUUCCACUGUAUUAUCGAUAACAGUGUGAGAUCCAAACCAGAAGUAUGGAGGAAGUCCUUAAAUCAACCGUAUUGCUUUCAUGUUUUUGGGAUAAACAUGACUAGUAAUCAGAGAGCUGAUCUAGAUCUCUUAAUGCCAUCUUUUCUUGAACUGCAGCUCAAAUCAGAAUGUUUUUUUAUAGCUGCCACUAAAUAGAAUUGGAAAGCCACUUCUCCAAUAACUGUGGUUUCAGCCAUAAAUGUGCACCAUUUUUGGUUAGGCUGAUGGGAGGGACAAAAAAUCUUUUCAGAGCUUGGGUAUUACCCAGCUGUUUAUGGCACUGAAAUGAAGUGGGAGGAGCUGUGCAUAUGAUUUUUAAUUCUAUGGAGGCUUAAUCAGUACUACAUCAGAAGUAAGGACUUCCAACUGUAACUGUAAUCUUGACAUUGGAAUAGCUUAUUGGCAAUAUUAGGAGUGCAAAUUGACUUGGCAGAUACAAGUCAUUUCUUUUAUUAUUAUUUUCACAAUAGUUUGAUGCAUGUCUUUGAAUCCUGAUGAGAGAAAUCAUGUUCUUUCAUUAUCAUUCACUCAAAUAGAAUACCAGAAUGAUGGAGAACACAUAUGCCUCAUAUAGAAUUAUGAAGACUAUUUGCAUGACAGCAGCACGACAGAGAUCAGGUUGUGGAGAUCAUCUGUGUUUCCUAGUAAUUGUAAAUAUAGCAGGUAAAGUAUCAUAUUUAGUUAAAGAGUACUUACUUCACAUUAGUAAUUUCAGUUUGGCAUGGGGUUGUGUCGAUGUCUUAUUGUUUUCUGUCUUAUUUCAAGUAAUCUCAGGGAAAUUGGUCGACUAAGUGAAUGUAAUGCUCUGGCAUCAUCUGGCUUGUGAUCCUGGUGGGAAUGAAAAUAGAUAAGAAUGCCUUCAAAGUACAUUGCAUGUCAUUAUACGUCAUCAGUCACAAAGAAAGACUUUUCAUCCUUGACAUGACAUGAAUAUGUUCUUAUGCGAACAGAGAGUGUUACCUUUUUCCAAGUUCUAUUAAGAUCGUUUCCUAGAACAGAGGAUGUUUAUUAUGUGUUUUUUCAUUUUUUUUUUCAAUUCACUUACGCAUAAUAAAAAAAGAACUUCAUUACUUGUUAGCAAAUGAUCCACCCAAAAGCUUAAAGCACUAGUUAGAGGUAGACUCAAUGUAUAUAACCCCUGUUGAAACCCUUUAUUUAACCAAUGUGGAAUAACACUUCUAAUAAUUGAUUGAUUUUGGGAACUACUCAUGUCUAUGUAGUCUUGAUUGCAUUUUUAUUAGCUUAUGUCCGCUUAUUCUGUCAUGGAUUAAUAAGCUACUGGAGGCACUAUCUUAACAUUUUUACUUUUCUCAAAUCCAGAACACCAAUGUUGAGAUGACUUAUUUCCAUGGAUCUAUAUGCAACUUUGUUUGUCAGUUGAGAUGCUAAUACAUAGAUUGCUCAAUCUGAUGAUGGAUUCAAGCUCUUGAUCCUGUCAGAAGUAACAUCCUGUACGGUGGAAAAUCUGGUAGGAAUCAUGUUGUGCUCUUUCUUGUUUGUAGUCAUGCCUAUAUGCAUCUCACAUGUUCGUAUCAUCAGUUAGUGUCUUUACAUAUCAAAUUUGCAUCCUUCUGUUCGUUCUUUUUUUUGGUGAUGACAAUUUCUCAUGCCCUCGAUGCUUUAAAUGACCAAGAGCUUCACUGUAAUUUUGGCAAUGAUGUGAGAUCCGAACCAAAUAUCUGGGAUAUGGAUGUAACAAGGACAUUCUUUAAGCCGAUUGCAUUGCGUUGUGCUUUAUGAACGGGAGCUGUCCGUCAUAUAAUGAAAACAGGUGCUUUACUUCACUCCUGAAAUGUUUGAGAGCUGAUCUGACUCCAUAAAUGUCCAUUUUUUCUUGAACUAUUACUUAAUCCGAUCAGAAUACUUUGUUACAGAUGCCACCGUAGCAGAAUAGAAUUGGAAGUUCAACCUACUAAAUAUGAGAGCACCGCGGAAAUGGCCAACUACGAUCCCAGCGAGUGUGUUUGCCUUCUUCACUCCAAACCCUACAGUCUAUCCCUGCAGUCUAUUCAAUAAGGUACUAAACUAUCUCAAUUAUACUUGCUACUAAUAACAUUUUCUCGCUAGGGGUCUCAUCAAAUUAACCAGAAGAUUAUUCAUACCAUUUUCCAGAGUAGAGCAAAGGAGAGCUUCUAGGUUCCUAGCUUGCCAAAACUUGUCGAAUGGACGCACAUGGCAUGCCAAACAAAAAGCUACUGCCAAAGGCUAGCUUGCCCAACCUUCUUGGAAGAUAAAUAGGCACUCAUCACGAAUGCUUCUGUGAAGUAAUCACACACAUCUACACAGAGAGUGUUAAAAUGGCUGAUAAAAUGGUUGAUCAGUUCAGGGCAAUGGACUUGAACAAUAAAAUAGAAUGGUAUCCUGUGAUUUCGCCUGAAUGGCUAGGUUAUGUUGCGAUAGUCGAGUCGAGAUAUCACAUGAUAUAUACCGUGUCACAGUCUUUUAGCUUCGGAGUUCUGGUGGAAACAUAUGGUCCCGAUUGGGGAUUGGUGAGGGAACUUAGCAUCUACGUUGGGCAUGCGAUUCACUACUCCAAAUCAAUUUUGGCAUUUUUCUCUCUCUUUUCGAUGUUGGUCGAGUUACCUAGUACAUCUAGAUAACGGUAAAACCUUGGAGAUACAAUCUUACGACUUAUUUCAAUUUGCACAUACAUUGCUGCAUUGCAAGAGGUAACUAUAAAUUGUUUGAUUCUCGACAUCUGGAUUGAAAUGUAAUCUCACCUAACUAGAGGAGAAAAGAAGUACAACCCAUCACCAGAGACUGGUUCGUUUAGUUAAUAAAACUCAUGCUUGGACUGCUUAAAUUAUAUCAUUACGCAUCAAGACUAAUAUUAUAAAUCUAAGACGAAUAUUUACAACACGGUCGAAACAUGAUACUCGCCAUUAUUCAUUUUGAAGGGGAGCUACGCUUCUAUGAGUUGGACAGGUGUUGUUCCAUGGGAAGUCCGAAUAUCAGGAGCUUCUUGUUUUCCAAGUGACUUCUUACCUUUCAUGAUCGCUCUCCAAUUUUACACCAGAAGUACUAUGACAAAGCAAUGGCUACGCUAUUAGUAUUUAGGAUACAAGUAUUUAGGAUACAGAUGAUCCUGAUGAAUCGUGAAGAUCGAUGAGCUUACACAAACUCUGCAUAUAUACUACCACCUCAAAUAAGAUUUUCUUGGGGGAGAUUGUUUUUGCAAAUGAUUAACUUAGGAGAAAGUCUACAGUGUUAGAUAUAACAAAGUUUAUUUUCCAAAAUCAGUAAACAGAUCUCGUUAAACAUUAGAUUAACUUCGGUCUGAUACUUCCCCUGCCCAAGAAACUAUUUCAACAAGCAAUUAGUCGAGUUGACAGCAUCUUGGAUGGUAUUCUUACUCACGACGAGCAGACAGAUAUCUUGUGGCUCCUUUGAUAUAUUCGUUUGUUCAUAGUCAGCGGAGCAUGGCAGAGUGGCAACUCUGGAUAGUCAAAUCCAACUGAUGUAGAAGGAUGAGUUUGUUUACCAAGAGAUGCUCACGCAUCUUCCCCUCUGUUCAAUCCCCAACCCGAAGAAGGUGGUCUCUCUCUCUUUAUUUCUUUCCAACUUCUUUCAUCUUUGAAGUUUUGAUGCUGUGAAAGUACUCACUUGAUAUUUUUACAGGUGCUGCUCGUUGGUGGGGGAGAUGGAGGUAUUCUGAGAGAAAUAUCUCGUCACACGUUUGUGGAACAAAUUGAUAUAUAUGAACUCGACCAAAUGGUGAUUGAUGUAAGCAAAAUUAAACUAUGAAAACCUUCCACAGUUUCAAGCUUGAGCAAUUGGGUUCAGGAGGACCAUAGCAGUUAUUUAUAUACUUCUUGUGUCCUGUUGCAGGUUUACAAGCAAUUCUUCCCUGAAAUAGCAAUUGGGUAUGAGGAUCUGCGAGUGAAUGUGAACAUUAACCAGGGUAUAUUCAAUAGUUGUUACACAUUGAUGAAUAUAAAUAAGUUGCAAGAGAUUAUUUAAUUUAACUUACUUUAAUUUCAACAUCGCAGGAGUUGCUUUCCUGAAGGCGGUUCCUGAAGGAACUUAUGAUGUGAUCAUUUUGGAUGCAUUUGAGUGUAUGGGUAUUGUCGAGUGCUUAUAACCUCCCCCACCUCUUUGAAAUUUAGUAUGCCUCCGAUUAAUUGAAUAACUAAGCAGAAUAACAGAAAUCUCAUAGGGUGGUAGGUCAUACAUCUACUUAUUUCAAGUAAUUCGAAACAUUCAGACACCUCCAAGAAAAGGAGUACUUGCUAAUCAUGCGUAAAAAAAUUCAGGAGCUACUGCAAUUGAACUAGCGAAUAAAGAGUUCUUGGAAUCGGUGGCUCGGCCGCUCCAUCCUAGAGGUGUCAUGUCCGCUCCAGCAGACAGCUUUUGGCUGGACAACUUCAUAGUGGAAGACACUAUUGCUGAAUGUCGCCAAAUCUUAAAGGGCUCAGCGAGAUAUGCUUGGAGUACAAUUCCUUCCUUCUCCUGUUUUUCAAGUUUACGAUGGGGAGAAUGAAUUUUCGACUUUCUUUACCAUUAGAGGGACGAUUGAAUUUGUGCUCUGCUCCACUGUUGGGCUGGCAGUUGACUUCGAGAAACCUAUCAAUCCUCUAGAUACCAAGAACAAUGGGGUGGCUAAAGGGCCUCCUAAGUUCUACAACUCUCAGGUAAAAAGGAUAAAAGAUGUUACACGUAUGUGAACUGGAAAUUUGAUGUCUUGUUAAUGCAAACCUCUUUGCCUCCUGAUGUGCCAGAUCCAUACUACUGCUUUCUGUCUGUCAUCUUUUGCAAAGAAGGUAGGCAGUGCCAAAUUCUAAUAAACAGAUGUUUCUCGCAUAUGGCCUAUAAAAGAUGGAGAAACAACAUCCUUAUUUGUGUUCUUCUGUCUUCAUUUUUUUUUUUUUUUCUGUUGUCCAUUGUUUGUCGAUCAUCGACUGUAAUACCCAAUGUGGCCAUAUCAAAUUACAAAUAAGCAUCACAUGGCUGCCCGUCAAUCGCUGAGAGGCAGUAGGCUAUCAUUUUACUUGAUAAGAGGUCGAUCUCUGUCCUGCUCUAAGUUACUGAGUCCAUUUGCCCAGGAUCCUCUCAUACAUGCACGAAGAGACUUGACACAUCACAUUGCAGCCAAGACAGCUCCUUUAAGUAGUGUAGCACAUGCCAAAAAUCGAUGUGGCCUCAUAGUAGUGAGAUCAAAUAGGUAUAUAUAAUCAUUGAGCAUUAGCUGCAUGGUCUGUUCCACUAGUUUGUGCAUAGCUAGUCCAUAUACAAAUCUCUGAAUCAUCCCAACAUCAGUGAUGCAACUUUGAAUUAACUCCAUAAUCUCUGAGGUCUAACUUCCAUUGGAAGUAUGAAGAUUUAGCUAGUGUUCAAAAGGCCUAAAGUUCCUUUCAGAAAGGAAGUAUUUCUUUGUCAGAACUCAAUUUGAUGCUUACCCUAGAACAAUUAAGCUUAUAAAAUAAACCCUGGCCAAGAAAAACCGAUUUUUACUAGCUUUUUAAUUAAUCUGAGAAACAGUUUAUGCAUUUAAUUAGCCACUCUUGUAGUAGUCAAGGAAAUGUUCUUGAAAUAUGUAUCCAACCGAUCGGUGUAUUUUACUCAGACUUCUAGUUAUGGCUUUGUUUUUCUGAGUUUUAAAAAGACUAAAAAUUGUUUUGAGUUCUAUAAAUUUGUAAGGGAAUUAUAAAUCAUUUCAUUUGUCAACAUUUGAAAUUUCGCAAAGGUUUUCGGGUAUUUCGCUAUAAAUACAGAUCGACCAAUCAUGGUCCCUAAAUUUGACGAAGGAAAAGGUCCAAAGUCAGACGAGACCUAAAGCCAUGAAAACUUCAGUAGUACGAAGGUUAUUAGAACUGCAGAAAUUAUUUGAUUUGUGAACAAAAUUUCUUGCAUUCAUAUAUGGAGGCAUGGAAAAUUGCACGUUAUUUUUCUUUGUGAUUAGAUUUGUCUGACUUUCCAGUCAGCUUCGCAUAAUGUGACAGCAUUGAUAAGGAAAGCGCGGGGCAAGACAUUUUAUAAUUCAUCAGAUUGCAGAAACUUGAAGAGUCUAUGAAAAUGAUAUAAGUACCAAUCAUGUAUUUAUUUACCGAAGAUAUAUUUAUAUGAUAAGGUCCCCACUCAAUGAACAGGAAAUUAGACGGCCAAUGUAGAAAAUAAGUUGGGAACGCGUUGACUUGACGAGAAUUUCUUUGGUGCAAAUGACAAGCCAAUUCGGAUUUUUCGUAAAUCUUUCCCAUGGCCAUUCCCAAGAGUCAAAGUGCAUCGAUUGCAAGAAGAAAUUGAAAGAAAAUUUGAAAUUUCAGUUUAGCGAUUGAAACUACAGCUCAAUGAUUGCAUUGCAAACACCUCUUUAUGUUUAGUGAGGACCGGUGGAAUUUAUCUUUUAUUUGGGCUCCGUUUUUUCUGUAAAAAAUGAAUGAUUUGAAAAAUAUUUUCCUAAAAAUGAUCACUUGAAAUAAUUAGUCAAUGAAAAAUAUUUUUAUUAUUGAUAAUAAUAUAUAUAAAUAUUUUCGUAGAAGAUGAAAAUAUUUUUCGUUCAUUGAUUUUUGUAAGUGAUACAAGCUAUCAUUUUUAGAAAAGUAUUUUUCAAAUCAUUCAUUUUACACGAAACGAACGAAGGUUUUGUAAGGGACUAGCUUGACUUUGUCAAUUGAUGUUUUGAGAAGUGGGGAGACAAAAACAUUGGGCUGAUGGGGUCCAAGAUUCCCAAGAACAAGCAGACUUAACGAAAGAGUUAUUUUUGCAGCGUAGUUCAUUGAACGAGAAAGCAAACAAUAAUAGUAUUAGUACCCUCUUGGGAAGAGUUAUUCUCCUUCAUUCAUUAUAAAUAAAUCACACAAACUUCUCUUUUCAAACGCACCCCUCUUUUCCUCGCCGUUGUGCAUUUACGUUGUGGUUUUCUCACCAAAAAAAUGCCAAGAAGGAGCACUUAUGCAGAUCACUCCCACAACCCCCGAGCCGAGGAAGAAGAAGAAGAUUACUAUGAAGUGUUCCCGAGCUUCUGUGAUGGAGAGACUUGCGCCGGCUGAACCGACUGCCUCUAUAGGAGCCUGGUCGAAGCGGGAGUCUGUGUUUACAGAGACAACAAUGAGCUUCACACAAGUAAGGUGUUUGGCCCGGAACUUCUUAGUGUGAUUAUAUAAUCUGGGAUAUUGAUCCCAAUUCUCUUAGAAAACUAUAGCUCCAGAGAAUGGUGCCUCCACGAGCUCACACAGAUGAUGGAUGGACUACAAGAGAAACAAUGGAAGGUAUAUGAUGUUGCCUGUAUUUUAUGGGGUGAAGCAAGUGCACGUGCGGCACCAGGCAGGGAUUUUCAGGGAGAGGUUUCGAUCCGGUACGGGGUGGCUCAAUGAACGGGUUGCGGAGAAAUGGAAGCAGGCGUUUGGAGAAGUCGGUUCCAUAUUUGGAUAUGAAUCCGGGAGAGGGUACAUCUUGUUUCUAAACUUACCUCGUUUACCUUUUUUUCUAUUCACAAUAUCAUUUGUUUUUUUUUUUUUUGGCCAAAAUGAUACCUUGUUCACUUCCAUCAACGAUUUUGGCUUCGUUUAUUUCUCAAAAUCAAUAAUUUAGAAAAAAACAAAUCGUAAAAAAAGUAUCUUCAUUUUUAUUGGAAAAAACAAAAACUUUCAUUUUCAUUAUCAUAUUCGUUGACAAAAAUGAAAGAUCAUCUCCCCGCGUUCUUUUCAUGCUUCUCUGUGCCUUGUCACCCAACGAGCCUCACGUGCAUUUUUCACUUGGUUUUUGUUCCCUGUUUAUCACACAAGUAAGAAUGAUUACAUCAUUUACAUGAAGGCGACCCGAUACAUAGUCUGGUUUCCUAUACCCAGAUUUCCCGAAACAUCGAGAUUCAUGAAAGAUGUACAAAAUUAUUUCUUUUUAAGUUUAAAUGAGUAUUCAGUGGCUUAAGUAGUGAGGAUAUUGUUGAUUAAUCAACACUUAUGCCCUCAGCAACCCAUUCUUUUUCUUUUUCUUUUUCUUUUUAAAAUUUUCCAUAGAGAUAUUACAAAUGCCACAAAAACCCCCUAAUUUUUUUUAUCACAAAAAACUCUAAAUUGAUAUACUUUUGACAAAUUUACCUCAAACUAAUUUUUUGACAAAUUUACCCUAUGUUUGUGACUAAACAUGGGAUAAAUUUAUCACAAAUACAUCAGUUUGAAGUUUUUUAUGGUCAAAAAAUUAGUAUAGGGUAAAUUUGUCGUAUGUGUACUAUUAGAGUUUUUCAUGGUAUUAACUUAUUUUACAGCAAGGUUAUACUUCACUUACUCGACUUCGUUGUUCUUUGAGACGCAGGAAACAGAAUUGUUCAAGAAGGUAGUUAAGCAGGUUUGUGGCGCAUUAGUGGAAGCCCAUCAUCUCAUCGUUUCCAUGGACACAAAGGUGAGAGCGAGAUUGGAAGAGGAUUAUCGCCGUGAGUCGAUGCGCCUCGCGAAAGAAAAUCAUUGUGCGGAGGAGAGGGAAAAGUUACAUUGCGACUUUCAGGACAGUCUAAAGCGGACGCCGGUGCUGAGGAGCAUGCGGAGCAAUGGGAAAAUGGUCAGGAAUAAGAUACACAUAGCUUUGCAUGAGUACCCGCAGCCUUGGAAUUUAUAUUCCAUGACUCAUGACAGGAUGGAGCAAUUAAGUUCGUAAUGUAUUAUCUUGGAGGUUACCUCAGUUCAAACCCUAGUGACAUCAAAUUUAGUUGCUUUACCAUUCUUUUUCUGGACCAGUUUCUUCUAUGUUUUGGUUGGGUCAAGUUUACAGCUCGUUGUUCAAAUUUCGAUUUACUUCCUAUUUUGUUCCUGCUGAAUUUAUCUGAGUGUUGUAGUUGCACUAGCAUGUGAAUACACAGUAUAUAUUUGUUGUGAAUUGAUCAAUUUGAACGUGUAGGUAAGCUACAACCUCUUUCGACUCAUGAGUAUAAAUUGGAGCACAUUAUCAUUGGCUCCAUGUUGAGUCCUCAAAUACACUUUAGCCGCAAGAGUUCAAGUCAGAUGACAGUCGAUAAACUUACCAAAAAACAUGCUCAAUUUCUAGAUGAUCUUAUUCCAUUACUUAUGGUAUAGACAAGCCAAUCUCUAAAUUGACAGCAUGGAGUUUUGCAUUCACAUAGAGAUUAGAAAUUUGUUAUUAGAUUGGAGAUAGUUUUUUUUUUUUUUUUGAGUCAGAAAGAAACGACUGUCAUUGCUAUCCAAAGGAUGGAUUAUAAGAGUUUCCAAGAUCACAACAUAAAAUUCACCAUAGGAAAUGGGGAGGUUCAGCAAGCCUAGUAGGCCAAAGGGUUUCGGUUUUAUGGGCCUUGGUGACUCGGGACAGUUUACAAGGGUUUCCAAGGAUUUCUUUUACAACUCUUUCAUCGAAGAUCUCAUUUAGUUUUUGGAUCUUCCAUACGCCUAAGUCCAGGGAAAAGCUUUUAAAGACUACCUUGAAGUUUAGUGUUGUGUUCUAUCUACUUGUUAAGAUGAUGUAUUUUAGGGACAAAUGCUUCUAAUUACACCGUCAUGCAAGCAUUGAGAUGGCACCAUGUGAAGCAUUGUGAUGAAGGAAGUGUGUAUCACCGAUACGCUGGAAAAAUGAGAGAAAGGAAUCUAAGUUAGAAAAAUGAUAAUCUAACGGUGUUGUUAUUUACAAGGAAAGUGACAGUGCAUUCACCAUUGCACAUAUUGCAAGAGAAACCAAUCAACUUGCUUCACUGGUUUCUCUUUACUUAUUCAUUGUCUGUCAUCCGCAGGGCACUGACAUCAAGAUAUGCAGAGAGAAAGAGGGAGAUUCUUUGUGUUCCCGGUUGCCAAUUGCAUGUCAAUGGCACUUUGUGGUAAAAAAGGUACCAUUAUUCCUUACCGUUAGCAUAGCAGCUCUCUCCAAGUUAAUCAAGGAGCAUCCAAAGACGGAUUGGAGCAGAUGAAAGGGUCAUUUGACGGUAGAAAUGCGAAUGAGAAUUUCAAUCGGGCUACAAUGAUUUCGAUUCAACUGUUCAGCCUGUCAAUUGUCCUAUUCAACAUAUGGAGACUUCAAUUCAACAUCAUAAAUUAGAUAUUGUUUCAUAGUCUUCUUUCUCAUGCCACAAUUGUGAAUUCAUUCGAUUUCUUCAAGGUUCUUCCAACUGAAAGUUAGGAUUGUAGGGUUGAUGGUGAAAAUAUCCCAAGUUGAGAUACAAAGCAUAGUGAACAAUUGUGCAAUGAAACCCGUUAUAUGUAAUUGCUAUGUAGUGCUCAUCAUUAAUAGAAACUCCUCAUAUUUUCAAGUACCUACCAUUUAUAGAAGACGUGAUUUUGCCAUGAUAAAGAAAAAUAUGAAUUAAGGAUGCAAUUUAAUAACUCAUUAAAAAUUUUUUGGCAACUCUUAUGUUUCUCAUCUUAUGAAACCGUCGUUAGCAAGUAUGGCUCCAAUUUGGCCCUGGCCCCCGUUGCAUUAAUUUCCCUAAAUUAUCUCUAGCUGCCAUUUGAAGGACAAAAUUCAAUCUCUAAUCAUAAUAUGGAAAGAUUAUGCUGAGUCAGCACGGACAGAUCGACACUUUUGGCGCAUAUUUGUGUUCUCGUACAAGGUUCAAAAGCAAAUUACGAUUUCCAUCCUCGUACCUUCGGGAGUUUUCAAAUUCAGUUCAGUUCAGUCCAGUUCUGUCCAGUAGAUUAAAAGAUCCCUCCACGUCACUAGGACUGAAGAACAGCCGGCGAAAUUCAGCACAGCCGAGGUCGCUCGCCGGGAGAAGUCCGAGCCGAGUCUCCCGUUUCUUUUUCCCAGAUUCGAAGGAAGCGGAGCCAGAAUGGGAAUAGGUAUGGCAAUGCGUAAUCCUUUGGCCGUCGCCAUCGCAUCCAUCUUGGUCGCCGUGCUCGCACCCCGUUUCCUGAAGAAGAAGGAGAAGGAAACGAUCGGGAGCACCAAACCCGACGGACCCAUUUCGGUGGAAUCCGCUCCGUCUACCUCCGGGAACGACUACGAUGUGUUCUUGAGCUUCAGGGGCAGGGACACCCGCACCGGCUUCACCGACCAGCUCCACAGCAGCCUCGUCCACGCCGGGGUCUCCGUGUUCAGGGACGACGACGAGCUCCGCGUCGGCGAGAAGAUCGGCUCGGAUCUUCUCUGAGCCAUUAGGAGCAGUAAGAUCUCCAUCCCGAUUCUCUCUCCGGAUUACGCUUCCAGCAAAUAGGGUCUUCGCGAGCUCGCCCGGAUGAUCGAGUGCAAGAGAAGUGAAGAGCACAUCGUCUUGCCGAUCUUCUACAAAGUCGAGCCCGGGCAUGUGCGACACCAGACGGGGAGUUUCGGGAAGGCCUUUCGUAAAAUUAAGAAGCAUUAUGAGGCAGAGGUGGUCCAACGAUGGGAUCGAGCCCUCCAAGAAGUAGGAAGCUUAAAGGGAUGGGAAUCAGAGAGAAUUGCUAACGGGUACUUCUUCUUUCACUCGUGAUCCUGCUUAGCUAGAUCAAAAGUCCGAAAAUUUUAUGCCGCGAUCACUUUUGCAGUGGAAAAAAAUGAUGGGUUUUUAUCAAUUGGCUGCUUUUUGCUUCCUGUUUAUAUGUGGAUUUGCUUCCGCGGAGAUAUUGAUGAUCGGUUUCUUGUAUUGGACUUUGCUGUUAUUUCACAGACAUGAAGCUGAGUUGGUAAAGAUAAUUGUCAGGAAGGUUUUGGGCGAGUUAAAGGAAGCUUUUCAGUUAGACGUCACAGAGAACUUGGUCGGGAUUAGUAAUCACGUAGAGGAGAUUAUGAGAAUGUUAAAAACUGAUGACACUGAUACUCAAUUUGUUGGAAUCCACGGAAUGGACGGUGUUGGUAAGACGACUCUGGCCAAGUUCAUCUACAAUAAACUCUCCUGUCAGUUCGAUCACUGUAGCUUCUUGGCAGAUGUGCGAGAAACAGCAAAAGACAGGGUGCCCACCAUUUGCAGAACCAACUAAUCUCCCAUAUUCUAAAAGGAAAACACAAUGACAUCUCCAAUGUCGAUGAAGGACUUAGAAUCAUCAAAACUAGAUUUAGGCAUAAGAAAGUCCUCAUCCUUCUCGAUGAUGUGGAUGAUGUUUUUCAGUUGAACUGUUUGGCUGGAAAAUGUGACUGGUUUGGUUCCGGAAGUAAGAUCAUUAUUAUGGCAAGAAAAGUGAGUUUUCUUGAUGAGGCUCGGGUGGAUAACUCGUAUGCACUCAAUGGAUUGGAUCCUGACAACUCUUUGCUUCUUUUUAGUAGACAUGCAUUCAGAAGGGACUUCCCUUUGCCUGAAUUUGGGGAUCUCUCGCGUGAAAUUGUGUCCACUACGGGAGGGCUUCCUUUAGCACUCGAGGUUAUAGGAUCGUUCUUUUGCGGAAAACACCUAGUAGUAUGGAAAGAUACAUUAAGGAAGUUACGGCAAAUACCAGAUAAGGAAGUGCAAGAGAAGUUAAGGGUAAGUUAUGAAGCAUUAGAUUAUGAGCAAAAACAGAUAUUUUUGGAUAUUGCCUGUUUUUUCACUGGAACUGAUGGAAGAAUUGCAUCCUAUAUGUGGGAUGACUGUGAAUUUUUCCCAGGGAUGGGUAUUGAAGCAUUGAGUGUGAUGUCCUUGAUAAAAGUGGGAAAUGACCAUAGGCUGUUAAUGCAUGACCAACUGAGAGAUCUAGGUAGGGAAAUCGUCCGGCAGGAAAACUAUGAGGAGCCCAGGAAACGUAGUCGCGUAUGGAUUCACAAGGAAGCCUUACAUGUUCUAGAGAAAAAAAAAAAGGUGAGAGUUUUCUUUGAUUUACUUUUGUGCACUUAGUCAAUGUUUAUAAUCUACCAUAAGAGGAAAAAGAAGUUAGUAAAUUGAAUUAGUCCAGCCCUAGUUAAAAGAAGGCCUGUUCGUAAUAUUUUCAACAUUGUGUUACUCAUUGCAUAAUGCAAGUUUGUAAUUCAUGGGAGUAAUAUCCUUAGAGGGUGCUCUUCUGUGAUAAUCAAAGGUUCUCAGCUAACUUAUGGAGUUUAACUCAUUUUAAAGGACAUGUUAGCAAACUUAAUUGUAGCAGUGUUGAGCAUUUUAUAUAUUAGCUUCUGGUGGAUUGUGUAAGAUAAAUUUGUUGAAAGAUACUAUCCAAUGAGUUUAGCUGCAACCAUGUGAGCAUAGAAAUUAUUAUGAAACAACAUAUCAUAGUUUUGUUUUCAUGAUGCUUUAUUUCUGAUCCAUGGAAUUCUUACUUUCAGGGAACUAGAAAGAUAAAAGCCCUCCGUCUCAAUAAAAGUGGCUUAGGCAGGGUGUACAGCAAUGUACUGUUUGAAAAGCUACUGAACUUAAGGUUCCUUGAGAUGAAUAAUUUCAUCCUCUCUGGAGAUUUUGAGUAUGUUCUUUCUGAACUAUGGUGGCUUUAUUGGAAAAAUUGUCCAUCAAAUUUGGUAGCAACCAACUUUCACGUGAAGAAAUUAGUCAUACUUGACUUAUCAAGGAGCAAAGUCACAGAGCAUUGGGAAGGAUGGAAACUUAUGGAUGUAAGAUGAAAAGAGUAGAUUUUCCUUUCAAAAUAUGAUCAAUAAUUCUUAGUGGUUCUUAGUGGCUCAUGUUUCCGUGCUUUCUUUCUUUCAGGUGGCAAGUAAUCUGAAAGUUCUCAACAUUGCUAAUUGCCGUGACUUGAAAACAUCUCCUGAUCUCGCAGCUUUUCAAAAUCUGGAGAUUUUAAAUCUUGGAAAAUGUGAAAAUCUAACAAAAUUGCACCCUUCUAUUGGAAGCAUCAGCAUUCUGAUUUCCUUGGAUGUGAGAGACUGUUUCAGACUGAAGGAACUUCCAAUAGAAGUGGGCCAGCUACAAUAAUUAGAGGAGCUUUUUUAUGGAUAGAACUCGGAUGGAAGAAAUUCCCGUAUCGAAAGUUUCAAUGAAGAAGCUCAGGACUCUUAGUGCCCAGUAUUGUGAAUCAUUGGCUCGAAUACCCAGCUCGUUAAGCCAUCUAAAAUCUCUGUCAACCCUUGAUUUUAUGGGAUGCAAAAAGCUUGCUGAACUUCCAGAUGCCCUAGGGUGCCUUCAGAAACUGCAGCGCUUAUCAUUAAAAGAAUGUAGCUCAUUGAGAGGGAUCCCCAACUCAAUUGGCAAGUUGGAAUGUUUAACUGAGCUGGACAUAUCGUACACAGGAUUUACAGAGUUGCCUGAAUCCAUUGGAGACUUGAGUAAUUUAGAAGUUCUGCAAAUGGCGGGGUCACAUGUAACAAGGUUACCUAGUGUUAUUGGGAUGUUGGGGAAACUCACCACAUUAGAUGCCACAAAUUGCAACAUCCUGGGCAGAAGUUUGUAGUAAUAUUGGUGAAUUGUUUCAUUGAAGGCCCUCCGAUUGUUGGGGACAGAAAUUUGUGGCUUGCCAGAAAGCAUUUGUAAGCUUUCUGUCUCCAAGACCUCAACUUACGAGGGUGCAAGAAGCUCCAAUUGCUGCCCAAACCUACCCUCUGGCUUGAGAACUCUAGGUCUCACUUGUCAGAGUCUUACAUUGCCAAUCCUUUCCAACCUGACAAAUCUAAAGGAACUCUCUGUCCUAGAAUGCACUACACUUGAAUGCCUCCCAGAGCUUCCCUCUAAACUGUCAAAGCUUUCCUUAGGAGGAUGCCAAAUGUUGAGAAAGUUGCCAGAUUUGUCAAACUUGAAGCAUCUUUCAGAAUUGAGUUUGAAGGUUUGCUCUGAAUUGAGAGAAGUCAAAGGUCUGGAAGGAUUAGUAUCGCUAACAAUGUUGGAUGUGUUGAAGUGCCCAAAGUUAUCUAGGCUUGAUAGGGUAGAAUGUUUGAUGUGUCUGAGGUACCUAAGCAUAGGACCGUCAGAAGCGUUAGAGAGGUUGAUGGAUUGUUCGGAACUGAGUAAUUUAAAGGUGCUUCCAAGUUGUGAGAAUCAAGCUGGAUUUCAAGCUCUUAAUAGCUUCAUUUGCUUGGAAGUUUUAGAACUCACUGCUUGCAUGUCUUUGGAAAGACUGGACCUUUCAACUUUGAAGCUUUUAAGGAAAGCAAGUGUUAGGAAAUGCAAGAAUCUAGUCGAAAUUAGAGGCCUUGACAGCUUGGAAUACUUGGAAAGGUUGGAUAUCUCUGAGUGCACAUCCAUUAAGAGACUGGAUAUUGCAAAAUUGAAGUAUCUGAGAUAUUUAUGGGCUUCCAAAUGUAAGAAUAUAUGUGACGUCCAAGGCCUUGAUGUCUUGGAUUGGAAUGGUUGGACAUCUCUGGGUGCACAUCGAUUGAAACAUUACCAGGCCUUUCUUGCUUCAAGACACUGAGGUUUCUCAAUAUCAACCACUGCAAAAAACUAUGUGAUAUUCAGACCCUGGAGAAAUUCUCAUCCUGCCAAUGGUUCUAUAUUGAUGGAUGCAAGUCCCUAGAGAAACUGCAAAACCUAUCAAAAUUUGAAGGUUUGAUAGAGUUGAUAGUGAAAGAUUGUCAUGAACUUCUGGAUAUUUCAGAGCUCAGAGAGUUGAGAUCAUUAGAAUUUAUAGAUAUGUCAAGAUGCAAGUCCAUUGAGCAUCUACCAGAUUUGUCAAUGUGCAAGAACUUGAAAUGUUUGGUUGUAAGAGACUGCAAGAAACUUAUGGAGCUUACAGGGCUUGGAGACUUGCAUUCACUGUGGUGAGUGGAUAUUACUGGCUGCAAGUCACUGAAACAAAUACCGGAAUUACCUGGAGCACACAUCAUGCAGAACUAUGGAGAACCUACGUUUCAUCCCUUGUAUGGGACUAUAACUUUCAGCUGAUAUGCUGCACAUAGUUCUACUGCCAUGUCAAACUUGAGAGAGUAAAAAGAAGGUGAUCACCCAUGCCCUGUUCACACCUAUUUCCUGUGUUUUAAUAGUGUUAUCUGUAUCAAGAAGUAAAUUUUCCUUCAUGGCCUUUUCUAUUAUCAUUUCUUUCCCCUAUAUAGUUCAAGCAAUGGAAAGAAGUUGAUGCUCUGGCAAUUGUUUAUUUCUAGAGUGGAACUUCUUCGCCCAGUUGGAAACCUUCUCUAAGUACGUUUGAUAUCAUCGUGGUUGACAACUCGAGUUCUUAAUCUUCAACAUGAGAUUGAUUAGUGAUGUGCAUGUACAGACUUCGGAGGUUAUUUUGCUUGGAUACCUGAUAUGUCCUGUUUGUUUCACUAACACAGGGAACAGGUGACUAAAGUAGAACAUCUUCUGAUGAAUUUUUAUGUUAGAUUUGUAGAUGUAUAUUUGCUGUUACUUGCCUUAUCGUUAUGAAAAUUACCUUAUCACGACAUUCCAUUUCUUGAAUUGUUAGCAGGAUUCAUGCAGUUUAUAGAGGCUCUAUCUAUAAUUUGUUUGGGAUUGACUACAUAUUGCAGCUUUCUGUGGAUGGACUUAGACAUUAUUAAAUUUUGGAACGCUUCUCCAGCUUGGACCUUGGAAAUUCCUCCGAGUUUAUAGGAGAGAUGAAUCUCAAAGAAUUAAUAUUCCUGGCUAUAUUGGAGUGCAACAAGCAAAGCUUCAUUUGAUUUUCACCGAGGAAUCAGCGUUUUCUCCUAAAUAUGAUUGAGGAGCUUUCCUCCUUUUCCUUUCAUGAUAAUAUUAUGCCUGAGAAUGUUCCUCAAUUUCAUUAUUGGACCAUUAUGCAAUCAGUUUUGAAUGAAGAACUAGAGUUCUUUUUCAUUAUGCAGUAACAGUGACAAUACUUGCAGGAACACCCAAGCCUGGUGAACCUAUUCUUCAUUUUAUCUCGAUACUUCCUGCACAUUCCACGUAAAUGAGCAAGGGUUAAUGACUAUUAUAAAUUGAGUUAAUAACUAGGGCAGCUGCUCGAUCACUACUUAUGCUCGUGGUUUUAGUUCGUUUCCUUUGGGGCUUCUUUCAUGGGAGUGAUGCUUUUCCAAAAUGUGUGUCGGCCAGCCUCUCCAUUUGUAAGCUAAGAAUUGUAGGAUCUGUGGUCGUGGGAAGAAGGAAAUGAAUCGUGGUUGUAUCAACCCAGAGAGUGAAAACUGCAUUGUAUCUAGUCCGUGUAUUCGCUUGUCAAACAAUGCAGUCUUUGGUAGUUAGCCUGUGCAAGUUCCCGAUGUAAGAGAACGAGAUUUAUUUACCUACUCGUGUAUCACAGUCGCCAUGAAUUGACCAGGAAGACACCAAGCGGCAAAACUAUGCACUGAUUUGCCUUUUCUCUCUUUCUUUUUAGUUCAAGGAACCAGGAGACUCCAAGAACAUAUGGAAAGCUAGCUGCCUUGUCGAAGGACAUUUACCGACAUAGCCACUGGCAUUGUGUAUCAGCUACUGGAAACCAUAUAUGGCAAGAAAAUAUCUUUCUAAGACACUAGAUGCUAUCAACUCGCGAUUCUCCAAUUGCUGACUUGCAAUUGGCAAAAGUGGCUCCAACCGUUCUGGAUUGAGAAAGAAUCAAUAAGAGUGGAACUGAAUAUUUUGCAUCCUCUGAUACGCGAAGAAGCGUGAGAAGUUCACUACAUAUCUGCAGGAAUUUUUGAGAGAUGAUCAUUUCUGUCUGAAUGGACCAUUCCAAAUCUUGUAUUGACGCGAGGGGAAGACAAACAACUCAGGGAUGUUUUAAACUGCUUCUGAGGCUAUAAAUUACUAUUAACUCUAAUUGCCACCUGCAUAAGAACGCCGGUUUAUUAAAGAUCUCACGUUCCCAUGUGCCUAAACUUGUUCAGAAAGAUGUGCACUUUACCCUGUAAAGCAUAUGCUCCACUUUUAGUUCAUUUAUUAGAGAUCUUCUAUCUGUUCUGGCUUAUAAUUUUCUCAACAAGAAGAGACAGUGUAAGCGAUGGUGCUGAUGCCAGCAGUUCAGGCGCUGUGGGAACAUCCACUUCUCCAUUCAUCUCUCCAAGUGGUGUGGGAAAUGACUGCAACAAAGUGUUCUUGAGCUUUAGAGGCACAGAUGCUCACACAGGAUUCACAAAUCACCUCUACCAUUUGCAAACUUGUCGAUGUAGGCACUGUGCCAGCUCAUGUUCAGAGAUGAUAAAGACCUCCAAGUCGGCAAGGAGUCUGGGUCAGAGCUUCUCAGCGCAAUCAUGCAGUCUAAGAUCACGGUACCAAUUAUCUCUCCCAAUUAUACUUCCAAUAAAUGGUGUCUUUGCAAGCUCAUUCAAAUGAUGGAGUAGAGAAAGAGAGGAAAGUCUUGCCGAUGUUUUACAAAGUCGAUCCCUCACAUGUGCGGUACUGGAAAGGGAGUUUUCGCAAGGCCUUCCGCUCACCCAAAAAGCAUUUUGAUGCGAAGGCUGUCAAGCCAGGGCAGCGAGCGAGCUCUCCGGGCAGGAUCUUCUUCCAAAGCAACUAUGAUCAUCAGUUUCUAACCGGUUCUCAUCAUAUUCUUCUUCCAAAGCCUGUUGCUGCUGCUAUUCGCCUUAUGGUUUCCUCUGAGACCCGAUCCAUAGGUAAUCUGGGCACUUGAACCCAAAACUCAUAAUGUGUGUAAUUGUAACUGUUCUGUGAAGUAGUUGGCAUCCAUGGUUUAAGCACCAAACGAUUGCUGGAGAAAGACCAAGGCCUCAUCUCACGAAUUCUGUUCAUUUCAUUUUCAGACUUAAAGGCUAAAGUUCUCACGAAUUCUGUUCAUUCCAUUUUCAGACUGCUAAAGUUCUCAAGUCUACCCGAUUAAAGGUAACUGAAUCCACUCUCCAUGCCGCUUCAUAGUGUUUUGGAAGGCUUAGAGAUUGAUAUUGGGGUUGCAAUUGCCUAAACAUAGUUAGACGACAUUCUUAUAUUCUACCAGUUGGGACCAUACCAUCUAUCUCAGCCAGGUCUUUUUCUGACCACAAAUUGCACAAUUUUUUGUAUAGUAACUCGAGAAUCUGAGUUAUCUAAUUCUUCCAUCCAAGAGGCACGAGAGGCAGACAGCUUACUCCAUAUGAAAAAAGUAUAGCAGAAGCAGCUAUUCCAAUAAAUUCAUUCUCGGGGUUGUAUCCCAAN
rnacentral:lncRNA from 1 species